GGGGAAAGAGGUGACCGAGCCCUCCCAUGCUUUGAUAAGCCAUGGGCCCCGAGCCCUCCAUGCUCUGAUAAGCCAUGGGCGCUUCAGGACGACUCACUAAGCCACAAUUUUUAUAUGUUCUUACCAGAACUAGUCGUACUUAUGGUUGCACCUCUUUUCUUAGGCCAACUUAACAACUUCCACAUCCCACCUUUAUUGCCUCCACAUUGGAUCGUAAGCUUGCGUUACUAAGCUCGGCAAUCUAAAUCCCAUAAAUUUGGUCAUAUAAAGCACGAGGCUUGAACAUGCUUUUCCGAUGUGGUAUUUAUGCAUUUUUUUUUCUUGUUAUUCAGCUUAAAAUCCUUCGUUUUGUUUGAUUACAAAUAAAUACACAAAUAAUUGCUCAGUGACUACUUUGUUGUUCUUGAAUUCUAUAAAUUGAAUUGCAAGUCAAAGUCAAUGUUUACCCAUUCUUGCAACCAAAGGUCCCACAAUACAAUCGAGUUUGAGUUCCCUUCUCGCAGACGUGGGUCUGGCGAUAUGGUUCAAAGCGGAUGAUUUUCUCAGUUCAAAUUUCUCUUCUCGCAUUCUAAGUUAGGUUAUAGCCGAAUAUCAGUUGUAUAAAAUGAAUUAACAUAUGACUGAAAAAUUCAUGAAUUUAUGAUGUAACCAUUCUAAUAACAAUUCCAAUAUCCGACCACCAGCAUCAUCAAACAAAGUUAAAGUAGUAAUCAAAUUUUAAACGAACAAUUAGUUCAAAUGGUUAAGAGCGUUUAUUCUUGUACCGAGAUUAUGUAUUUGAAACUCUCUUCACAAUAUCGCUUAUAUAAAAGAAAAGGUGUAACAUAUCUCAGAUAUAUGGCCUCUUGCUUCUUCCAAAUUCAGUUACGUCGCACUUUUUAGCAAAGCAAAUCGACACCUGCCUUCACCAACUCACCAAAUCGACACCUGCCUUCACCAACUCACCAAAUCCGUACAUAAAGUGAUUUUUACACUCUUUUUAACUUCUUACACAUUACUUCUUAUUUAUGACAAUCAGAUUGAAUAUGUCAAAUAAAAUCAACGGUCAAAAUAAAACAUGGGUAUGUAAUAGUCUAAAAAGAUGUGUGAUUAUUAUUUCUCAUUCCAUAAACGGAAAUCGCGGUUCGAAAAUUUGGUACAAGCCCAAUUAGCAACAAAGCCCAUUCAAUUUCCAGUUCCAAAAAGAGAAACAGCUGACGUUAAAACGGUUAUACUGCUACGUCACUGAACGCAGACGCAGGGCAGAAGCAGCUGAAGAGCUCAUCGAUUUCGCGCUAUUUCUGUAUAUAAUUAUAUAUAAUCUGCACCUGAUAUGUAUCUAUAGGUUCCGUUCCAAUGGUGGAGAAGAGGAGGAGGAACCCACUGGUGCUGACUUCCACAAAAAAUCUCAUCAAUUCCGUACUGAGUGAAGGCCACCGCGUCGACGGCAGCGGCGAUGGUGACGCGUCGACGAGCUUGCAGUUGCCGCCGGGGACCCUCCGGCUGUCCAAGGACAGAGCGGUCAUUUCCAGCAGCCCCAAAUUGGCCUCUCUCGACGACUCUGCUUUGGUCGGGCUUUCCACUCCCGCCCUCAAACGGCUCUCAAUCACCUCCGGCUCACUGGUAAUUAUUUCAAUGUUGAUUUAUAUAAAUUUUGCUGCUUUCUUGUUUGGCUGGCGAGAAAAUUGAUGAAAGUACAAGAAUUUACACUUGAAUCCGAGCUCAAAUUGCACAGCUGAAGACUGAAGUUAUCGAAAUUUCGAUUUUCGAAUAAAUUAUAAUAGAAAUUUAUUGAUUUUGAAUACAUAAUGUGAUUUUAUAGAAUGUCGAAUUUCGAUUUUGGAAAGAAUUGAAAUUCAUAGUUGGAUUUUUCGGGUUUAAGAUUAUACUAGAAUUGAAAACUCCGAACAACCGUGACUGCGCUGCAAAGAUUGAACAAACCUUGUCCGAGUUUUCCCACGCAAUGCUUGUUUUGCCUUGUUGUGCAUUUCCUGAAAAUGAUCGAAUGUCGUUGAAGCGGGAAGUUGCCUAUAUAUCACCUCUAUUAGCAUUUAACCUUGACCUGCACACAUUGUGCUUCAAAUCACUCGCUCAUAGAGGGGAAGACACUCUGGCUUCUUAUUUUGGAGAGAGUGGACGAUGAAGUGAGAGGGAAAGACGUUGAGGCUUCUGUCGUUGGAUUGCAGUUGGAGCCUCAGGCUCAGUUGCCAAGAUAUGCUUCGCACUAAAGAGCUUCUUUCGUGAAGAUACCGGGAUGUGGAACACUUGACUCUAUUAAAGGCAAUUCAUCCAUUGAAUACGAAGAUCGUCAAGAAAUGAUAGAUUUGGCUCUACAAGGAGUUGAUAGGUAUCUAGCAAGUGGUGAUAUUUUCAGUAUUUGCAUUAAUUGGAGUUGCAAGUCAUCAAUGUGCAUUCCUUGCAAACAAGGGUCACAAGCUGGAAGCGAUAACAUCUAUUUCAAGGUAAUUUUCCUGUAUUGUUCUUCCUAAAAAAAAAAGAAUCUUAAUAUUGUUCUUUGGUUACUUUUAUACUCACAUAUAUUAUAAUGUACCAAGUCUGAUCACAGUGUAAAUUAAUAUUCUUAGGUUGUGGCCAUGGAACCUUCAGACGACCCCAGUCUCCGAGUUAAUCAUUCUCAAACAGCCCUUGUGCUUGGAGGGAGUGUCUCUUCUUCUGUACCCCCAGACUUAUGGAUUGCUGAACAACAAGGUUUUGCACCUUUGCAAGGGGACACCGUAAAAAUAUUGGCUUCCAUACUUACACCACCGCCCAUCAGCACUAUCUUCAAAAUUCAGAGUUUCAGUUCUCCUGUAUGGAUUGGCUGGUGAGUUUGAUUUUUCCUUUUGUAGUUUUCUUUGCAUGGUGGCUUUGAUGUUUAUAUUGGAAGGGCCUCUAACAAGAUUGCUAAUUUGCAACCGUAUGCAAUAAUGAUUGAACCUAUUACCAGUUGGUAACAACAAUGGUAACCAAAAAACUGUUUGCCUUGGUUAAGAUCUAUGUUGCACGGAUAUCCGGGUGGGGGUAUCCGGUACGAUACGGUACGCCGAUACGGCAAAUUUCUAAAAACAAGGAUACAAUACGGCAAGGAUACAACAAUUGAAAUAAAUAUAUAUUGUAAAAUAUAUUUCAUAGGGUCAUGUUUCAUUAUAUAAGUUAAAUCACAAAAAGAGUGAAACAUUCAUCUUCAGAAGUUGGAAUAACUUCUGAAGUGGCUUCACUUAUCAGGGAAUUCACUGAGCCAAUUUAUGAUGAUGGAGACAUGGAUUCCGAAGAAAAACAUAAUGGCGAUAUUGUAAGAUGCAACUGUUUUAGUUCCACAUAUCUUGGUUUAGGGACACUUAGUUGAAGAAUGAACAUCUACUACUCUGUACCUCUUUAUUUUGUGUGUGUGUCCAUUGAUCUAUAAUUUUAUUGUUUAUUAUUUUAAUCUUAGUAACCUAAAUCGUAGAGGAAGACCUAGGAAAAUUUUGGAAGAGACCCUAAGAAAAGACUUGAGUACUUGGAUCUAACGGAGGACAUGACACAAAACCGAGCGCAAUGGCGUUCUAGGAUUCAUAUAGCCGACCCCACUUAGUGGGAAAAGGCUUUGUUGUUGUUGUUGUUGUUGUGUUGUAGUAACCUAAAUCGUAUUGGGGCAUGAGCAGGAUGCUGGGAAGAUAGGAAGGCAUCGGGUGCUGUUAGUUGCAGCUGCUGACAGUUCUGAAGGUCUACCACCAACUAUUAGACGCUGCUUUAGCCAUGAAAUAAGUAUGGGUCCUUAGACCGAAGAACAAAGGGUGAAAAUGGUGACAACAGUCUCUGCAAACGGCUUUUGAACUCUUUUCUAAUGUAUGUGAGUAAAUGUGUUGUUUAUGUGCCUUUUUUGUGUGGUUGUGUUUAUAGAAGCAUAAGCUAUUCCAAAAAACUUAAGCCACUAGGAUAUGGCUGAGUAUUUUAUAUUCUUAUAACUAUGAUUUACUCUUAUUUUUGUUGAAGUUGUUAUAAGAUCUGCUACAUAAGGAUACCCCGCAUGGUACUCAAUGUAGUUUUUUUACCGGAUCCUAACUGGUCACUUUGAUGGAUCCGAUUGUUGUUAUUUGCAGACUGGUUCAGAGGAGUUUAUAAAGGAUAUAGUUGCGCAGACAUCUGGUUUCAUGCCUAGAGAUAUUCGUGCUUUGAUUGCUGAUGCUGGUGCUAACUUGAUUUCCAAAGGCAAUGUUCCAAUUAACUCUGUUAAGUCGGAGGAAUCAGAUGGAUCUCUCAGAUCUGAUGCGGAAUCUGAUAGUAAGUCCUCUGAAGUUGCACCUCAGGUUCUGGGGAAAGACAACUUGACUAAGGCAUUGGAGCAUUCAAAGAAAAGGAAUGCAUCAGCCCUGGGUACACCAAAGUUAAUUUAGAGACAAGACUAACUUUGGUUCAAUAUUUUAUCCUUUCUUAGAGUUUUCUCCUUUAUGUGGGAAGUAAUAAAGAGCUUUACUGCUAGAAUCAGCCGGCAGUGAAGUAGUAAUCUCAUAGAAAAUUUUCGAGUAUGAUAUACAAGGAAUUUUUAAGUCAUUUUUCCUAUAGGUCCCUAAUGUGAAAUGGGAAGAUGUUGGCAGUCUUGAGGAUGUGAAGAAAUCGAUUCUGGAUAGUGUUCAGGUAGGUGCUCUUUGUAUCUCUAAGCCUUAGUAUGUUCAUUACCAAGAUUACAGUCUUCGGAAAUUGGAAGUCUCUUUCACUGUACUCAGUCCCUUUUGUUGUAUUGUUGUAUUUGUAGCUACCUCUUCUGCACAAGGACUUGUUUUCAUCUGGUUUAUGAAAGCGGUCUGGUGUUCUUCUAUAUGGCCCAACCAGAACUGGGAAAGUAAGUUUCUCUCUAACUGUUUUGAGGACUUUUGCCCUCUUCCUCACAUUAAGCUAUUUGUUUGACCACCAUUAUUUUUGUUAUUCAAACCUCAGACUCUACUGGCAAAAGCCGUUGCAACUGAGUGUUCCCUGAACUUUCUCAGUGUAAAAGGACCUGAACUAAUCAAUAUGUACGUAGGAGAGUCAGAAAAGAAUGUUAGAGACAUUUUCCAAAAGGUAAAGAAUACCACUAUGAUCAGUAUCCCUUCAGUGAAAGAAUCUUAUGGUCAGAACAUCCAUUUCCACUCACAAUUAAGUGAUAUUGCACAUACUUUGCAGGCCAGAUCAGCACACCCAUGUGUUAUAUUUUUUUAUGAACUUGAUUCUCUUGCUCCAGCUCGAGGUGCCUCUGGGGAUUCUGGGGGUGUUAUGGACAGAGUGGUUUCUCAGGUGAGGUCUCCUUUUUUCCUAUGACUUCUGUAGAAUCUUUUCUGUGGUUCCGUUGGUAUUUUCUGAUGUGAUAAGUCUUCUGAUUUUCAAGAUGCUUGCAGAGAUUGACGGCCUAAACGAUUCAACACAGGUUAUUGCCCUGGUAUCUUCUUUUCUUAUAAUCAGAAAGAAACCAUACCUCAUGCUUCUUUUGGUUUGUCUUAGGACUUGUUUAUUAUUGGAGCAAGCAACAGACCAGAUUUGAUUGAUCCAACACUUCUACGGCCUGGACGAUUUGAUAAACUGCUUUAUGUUGGAGUAAACUCUGAAGCAUCUUACAGAGAACGGUUAGUAUUCUCACAAUUUCAGUUUCAUAAUGCAUACUUCGUUUAAGAAUAAUCAAAUUACGGAUGUCAAAUGGGUGCUGAAGCUCUUUUUUCUUCACAUUUCUUAAUGCCAUCUCUUCUAGGGUCCUCAAAGCACUUACCCGAAAGUUUAAGUUACAUCAAGAUGUACCACUUUACUCAAUAGCCAAGAGAUGUCCCCCGAAUUUCACUGGUGCAGAUAUGUAUGCCUUGUGUGCAGACGCUUGGUUUAAUGCAGCAAAGCGCAAGGUUAGUCAAGUCAGCACCAAACACUGGAUAUUUAGUUCUGAACUUCUGAUAAACUAAAAUUCUUGCUACAUGUUAAUGCUAUCUGAUAUUUGGGGUGUUAAAUGGUAAUUAAGAGCGCAAGUGCGUUUAUGCUUUAUUUCCGUUAAAUUUGGAAUCCACCCAAAAACCAGUUAACAGACGAGUUGGAGAGACCCAGGAUUUCACAUGCUAAGAUAGAAAAGCUUCGAGUGCUCGAUGUAGGACCUUGUGUUAUCAAAAACAUCCUGGACAUUUUUUAUCGACACUCGAUACAGGUGUAAAUUUUUAUGACAAUAAACUUGGCUAGAUAAAGGAAUGCUCCUGUAUUGAUGGUAUUUCAUGCUUUCUUUCUGGUGCUGACAUUUUGUUUCGUGUAGGCUUUGAGUUCGGAUUCAGAUUCUUCUUGCACAGAUGACCAGUCGGACUCUGUUAUUGUCGAAUAUGAUGAUUUUAUCAAGGUAUGGCAAUUGCUCUUCACUGUGAUUGAGGGAAAUGUGAAUACUUCUGUGUUUUACUAAACAAAGUGCUGCUCUAAAGCCCGUUUCUGAAUUAUUGCCUGACCGCCUUCUCCUACCGCCUUAGGUCUUACCGGAGCUUUCUCCGUGCCUCUCCAUGGCCGAGCUCAGGAAGUACGAGUUGUUGCGUGAUCAGUUCGAAGGAGCUCCCAAGUGAGUUCCCAUCAGGUUAAAAUGAUCUGUGGGGAAUUCAGAUUUUGAAUCUCUUAUUAUAUAAUCAAAUGUAUAUGAUAUCAGUGUGUACAUCCAGGAAAUAAACCACUGCAUGUACCAUUAAUUUAAAAAAAAUGUAGAAAUUGGAUCGAGAGAUUUUUCAGUGUGCCGAAAAUACGGUUUGGUAGACUAAAUGUCAUAAUACAAGUGGUUGAUACUUGAAAAUGUCAUUUGUACUAAAUCAUUCACUUGUACUCACUAAAGGAGAGCUUGAACCUAUGUACUUGUGUAAACCCUUCACAAUUAAUGAGAACUCUUCUAUUCCGUGGACGUAGCCAAUCUGGGUGAACCACGUACAUCUUGUGUUUGCUUUCCUAUCUCUAUCCAUUUAUAUACUUAUCCACACUAAUGACCGGAGCAAUCUAGCGAAGAUCACAAAAAGCGACCGUUUUCGCUACCUAGGAUCUAUCUUGCAAGAGAACGGAGAAUUAGAUGGAGAUCUCAACCAUAGAAUACGAGCUGGAUGGAUGAAGUGUAAGAGUGCAUCCGGCGUGUUGUGUGACCGUCGUAGGCCACUGAAGCUCAAAGGGAAAAUUUUAUAGGACGGCAAUAAGGCCAGCGAUGUUGUAUGGCACAGAAUGUUGGGCGGUGAAGCAUCAACACGUACACAAAAUGGGUGUAGCAGAGAUGAGGAUGCUUCGUGGGAUGUGUGGGCACACGAGAAAGGAUAAGAUUGGGAAUGAGGAUAUCCGAGGUAAAGUAGGAGUAGCCGAAAUUGUAGGAAAGAUGAGAGAAAAUCGGCUCCGAUGAUUUGGACAUGUGCAAAGAAGGCCGACUGACGCUCCGGUUCGAAGAUGUGACUACGGGACAGAGGUUCAGGGCCAAAGGGGUAGAGGAAGACCUAGGAAAACUUUGGAAGAGACUCUAAGAAAAGACUUAGAGUACUUGGAUCUAACGGAGGACAUGACACAAAACCGAGCGCAAUGGCGUUCUAGGAUUCAUAUAGCCGACCACACUUAGUGGGAAAAGGCUUUGUUGUUGUUGUUGUUGUUAUAUUCUGACACUUGGUGUAGCGGACUGUAUUCCUGCACACUGAAAAAAAGUUUCACCUGGACCAAAUUGGUCGCUUUUAAUUAGGACUAUUUUCUUCAUUGGAUCAUGUACUUUUUGUAGAGGUUUUUUAGGUAUGACUCAUAUGACAAGUAGGACAUCUAAUUAUAAUUGGUAAAUUAUGCGGCUCACCUCUGGGUCUCUGCUCCACAAUAUUGUUGUAUUGAAGAAAAGAAAACAAAACGGUAGUCUAUCCUUAAAUUAAUCUAGACUAAGAGAAAAGGAUUCGAGUAUACUGGCUAGCCAACUUGGUUAACCUCAAGUCGACUUCGAGCAUAAGAUAUUAUAAGGUCUACAUAAAAUGAGGUUGAUUUGGACCAAAAUACAAAUUGAACUGGAGAAAAAACUAGGUUGAUUAAGAAUGGAUUCAAGCCACUAGUACUACAAUCUAGUGGUAUUUCUCUUCAUUUGUAAGUAAGAGGUCUUAGGUUCGACUCUCGCCAAAAGCGAAUUUGAACCAUAUUAUUGCUAGUCUAUUGUGAGACUAAGCUCAUCCCUUCUCCCCUAAUGUAGAUAAUAUCAUUUGUUAAAAAAAAAAAAAUGAAUUCAAACUAUAAACUUAUUAUUCUUCUGUAUUAUAGCAAACGACGAGUUGCUAUUAUAUCAUGUGACCGUGUUUCAAUAUCAUAUCAUAACUUUACAAAACAUUCGUUUUUUCCAUUUAUAAUACUAAAAUGCUUUUAUUUUUCUUUUGUCAAUUGGAAAUACUAAAAAAAUGCUAUUUAUGCUGCAGUUUGGCGUUUGGAUGGUCAAAUUAAAGAGCACAAAUCCAAGCAUAUGCUUUCAUAAUUAGCAAGGAGUGUAUUCCACAAACCUUGUUCUACCAACUAUACACAGAAGGAGAAAGACAUGCUUCUCAUUAGCGGGAGGCUUGACGAUUUCUUGCAUGACAGACGAGUUAACAUGUUAACGAAUCAGAUUAUUAUCGAACUAUCUAUGAAAUAAUGAGUAUGACACGUAAACGACACGAACAUAACUUGUUUGUCAAGUCUAAAGAUUAGACAUGGUAAGUUUUUGCAUGACUCAUUAACCGACACGAUCUAUUAAUGAGUCUGAUCUUUAUCUCAUUACCUGUUAAAAACCCGUGAGACCCCGAUUAUUGCCUUUUUUUUGUAAAACUAAUAUGGAUAUCUACGGCUUUCAAGGGCCCCUAAAAAUCGUCCUGGAGCUCUUAUGUCUUUAUUCUCACAGAUAUUCUGUUACUAUGACGAAAAUAUCUGCAAAAUCAUAUGCCUUUACUGCUUACUGAUUUCCGUUUGGAUUUUCCGUUGAUUAGUAGAUUUUUGUUGGCUGAUAUUUGUUUCCAACUGGAUUAUUAUCAUUAAUCUCCACUACUUCACGUUACGUAAAAUUAUUCAACUCUUUACCUGCAAUUAGUCAUGUAUCGAUAUUUGCAAAUGACAAUUUGAUACAUUUUCAUAAACAACAUGAUAGAAUCACAAAAAGAAUAUCAAUCAAACUAUAGCUUCUUUAAAAGUAUUUUUGCUUAGAAGCACUUUAUUAAAAUCAAAUUGAAAUUUUUAAUAAAAAUGCAAGUGUUUUGUUCAAUCUAUAAGCACUUCCAGCUUUUUUUUUUUUUUUUUUGGCCAAACAAGAUGAUGAGUUUUUGGUGAUCUGAAUAUGAAAGUGCAAUUAGUGGGAAGAGGAUCCUCUCCCGACCUCAGGAUGGGGAUCCUCCUGACCAGCCUAUCUGGACCGUUCAAAUUUAAUCCAACAAUUGCAAUUAUUAUAAUUUUUAGAGAAUCUUCCUGUUUGGAACUGUUGAAUUAAAUAUGAACGGUCCAGAUAGGCUGAAACUGUUGAAUUAAAUAUGAACGGUUCAGAUAGGCUGGUCAGGAGAAUUCUCAUCCUGAGCUCUGGAGAGAAUCCUCUUCCCAGUUAGUGCAAUCAUCGGGUAAUAGGAUAAGUCAAACUCGAGACUUUUUCUAGUGAGUUAGACAUCACUUUAGGAAGAAAAAGAACGCAUGCUGCUUUAGUGUGGGCCCUUCACGCCAACUGCCUCGUGUAUUUCGUGACUUACAUUCUCACGGUGGAGUUUUCCGAUCCGAAUCAUUCGUUGGGUUCUCUUUACAGUAUUCUCCAUAUUCAUGAAUUAUAUUCAUUUAUCGUACAUUGUACGAUUAUAAAUUAUUUUAAAUAUUUUUAUUUAAAAUUAAAUACAAACAGUACUUGUACGGUUAGAAAUUGAUUUAUUAUUAUUAUAAUAAUAAUUCUCAUUUUAUUACUCUCAAGUAUUGGGAAUUCGCACUUUGUUACUCUUAAUUUUUCUUGUCUCGUUUUUAUACCUAAAUUUUGAUUUUCUAAUACUUUAAUACUUCCGUUGAGUUUUUCGUCAAAUUUUUGGUUCAGUGAUAACGUGUCGUAACUUUGAUCCACCAUAUUUUGCUACGUGGAUGAGAAAUUCUCUUGUAAAUUCAAGUCAUCGUGUCUGGUGCUAAUUCUUGGCACAAAAGAAACAAGUUUUCUAUCAGAUUAAAGGAGUCAAAGUCUCUCUUAUAUAAGGUGUUACAAGAUGGGGGUAUAAUAAUGUGAUAAGAAUAUCGUUAUUAUUUAAAUAUUGUUCAAUAAUAAUAAAAUAUUAUUUAUUGUGACGUUUCACGUCAUUAAUAUAAACUCAUACAAAAAACGAUUUACACAUCAUUUUAUAUUACUAGUUCAGGAGCUUAUGAAAGCGGUGAACCUAUUUCAUCUAAAUCUUUCUCGCAGCUAGAAGUGCUUUGUGAAAAAAUGAUAAUUGAUAUAUAGUAUAUGGGGCUUUCCCUAUAGCAAAGAGGUUAACUAAUUCAAAUAAUGGCUUUUUAUAUAUAUAAAAUUUAAAAACUUCACUUUAAAAGCAAGCACCAUGCAUAAGUAUGGAAUUAAAAAAAAAAAUUGCAUUUGUGAUAACGAAAUUAACUAGAAGACCAUAAACUGGUAUCUUGUGGAUAAUUUAUGUAAAUGCUCCCAACCCAUUAUGUGGGUCUCUUCAUAUUUGUGGCAUAGUUUUAUACAAUAUAUGUAACGAUAUAUUUACAUUAAAGAGGUGAGAGAAAUAUCUUUUAAUGUCAUUCAACUUCAUAUCCCCAUUGACACUUAGUCUAGUGAUAUUUAUCUUCACUUGUAAGUGAGAGGUUUUAGGUUCGAUUUUUGCCAAAUGCAAACUUGAACCACAAUAUUGCUAACCCAUUGUGAGGCUAAAUGACACAACCCGAUCCUAUAAUCAAUGCGUGCUGGCCGUCACGUGAGUGUGACGUAACCAAAAGUGCGACUCGGAAGUAAAAGAUAAGAGAAAUACGAAUAAACAAAAACCAAAUACUAGCAAUAAUAUCCAACUAGCAUGCUAGAAUGAGUUUAAGUGUGCAGUACAUAAUUUCAGAGCAUAAAUACUAGGUGCAGUCAAGUAGGACCAUAACUAAGUUACAACACCCGCAGGUGAGCCCUACAUUAAUGUAGUCUGUUAGUACGUCGUGGGAAUCCUCGUGGGCCACCAACGCUGCUAUCUAGAACCUGGAGGGGCGCAAAACAAAAUUGAGUGGGUCAGUAAAACCAAAGUUUUCCAAAACAUUUCAUUUAAAACAUUUCUAACCCCUCACUGUAAAACUUGUAUACCUUCCCAGAAAAUAACAUAAUAGCAUAAUAUUUGUUCAUAUCUCUCAAAACAUCAAUCUUUAUCAAAAUCCAGCAAGUAUGCCAUGCUAUAAAUGUCAAUGACAGAAUAUGAAUGCAUCAAUAACAGGUGACAUAAUGAAUCAACCGGAGACCCUGCAGUUGGUCUUGUACGGUUAAUUCUAUAGCUCAAUAUCCAACCCAGCCGGAGUCACCACGGUGACCUGUAUGGCGCUACUCUGCACAUAAGUCGGAACUACCUAAAGUAGUCUAUAUGACAAGAAUGGUGAAAUAAUGCGCUCUAGUGCUUCUCUCAUCAAUCAUUUGCGCGCAUAAUCUAAGGUCACCUACCAGUCUGAACCACCUCUAGUGAUCUAUACGACUAGCAUGUCGGAACCCUCUCAUGGUCUGUACGACAUGCACCUACUUUGAUCCAAGGUGAGCGUGCGGUGCGGUGAAUACUAUAAGCACUGACACCAGGGGUGCAGGUUAUGAGCUCUCAACAUAAUUCACAUCAUCAACAAUUCACAUGAAUAACAUAAAACUCACCUGAUACUCACUUGUGCGUCCACAGCACCAAUUCACAUAUAUAUGCAUCAAUUACUAAUUCAUAUCAUUCAUAAUAUGCAUGCACGGCAUUUGAAAAACAUACUUUCAUUUAAAUUCAAUUUAUGGGAAAAUCAAUAGUAUAUAGGUAAAUACAGAAAAUAACUGCCCACUCACUGAUAAGUCGAAGGGUCGUAACCCCCGUGACAUCCCUGGAUGCGCUCGUCCUCGGGAUAGGUACCACCUAUAUGCGAAACAACUAAAAUAACAUUAUUUAAAGCACACAACCGACAAUUCGUAAUAACUUCUCAUACGGUGCUCAAUUUGGGUAUAUGAAUAUACCACAGUGACCUACUCGACGUCACGGACGUCGAGGUAUUUUUAGAAAAAAAUUUCGAGGCCGCACGCGCCCCCACGCGCUGGGAUGGGCAUGGGUCCACGCGCGUCACCCCUAACCUCCAGUCGCCGGACUGGUUCGCCGGUCGCCGGAAAACUGGAGAUUUUUCAAUCUUCUUGUUCUCCGUCAUUUCUUAACCAUUUUUCACGUAUUUUAUAUCAAAAUGAAGCCCUAAGCAUGUAGAAUCACGUUACACUACUUUAAGGCUCUAAAAACUACGAAAUCUCACCGGAGAAAUUCCAAGAAAACCGGCCAACUUCGAACUCAACGAUCCCGACGUCCAAAACCUUCAAACUAAGCACUCCGAACUUCCUUAUGACCUCACUAAGCUCACUAUAAGCUUAGAAUUCCUUGAAAAUCAACACAUCACGAAUGCAUGAACAGUACUCAAAUCGGACCUCGGGUUUUCAACGUGAUUUCUAAGGUUUCUUGUUCUAAAACUAGUAUCAAACGACUCAGGAGGUCGAAAGGAUGAAGAACCUUACCUUUUUGGUGUCGAUCCGUGAUGAUUGGAGGGUUUUGGCCUUUGUCCGUACAAUUUCGAGAGGGAGAUAGAGACUAAAACGAAGAGGAGAGAGAGAGAGCACGGGGGAAGGAGAGAGAGAGGGUUGUCCCGUGUGUGUGUGGUCCACCCAAAAACAAGUCACAAUCAAAUUCUUAAAAUCCCUAACCACACAAAACAUACAUACCAACUUUAAUCCAACUUAAAUUAUUUUUCCAAAAGUUUAGGAAUGUAUGUAUUUAGUCCAAUAAUAUGUCACACACACAUACCUUAGUAACCACUAAGGGCAAUCCCGUCAUUUCACGUCCUCGAUAAAUAAAAAUCCCGGGACGGGCUGUGACACUAAACCCACCCUCUCUCUCUCUUGGUGUAAAUAAUAUCGUUUGUUAAAAAAAAAAAAAAAAAACUUCAUAUCCCCAUUGGUUUUUCUUUUUCACAAUUUAAUUUAAUUACUUGUUGCACGCUUAUGCAAGCCAACUUUAUGAAUAAUAGUAGGUGUUUAUUUUUUUAUUUUAUUUUUAUUUUUUGGAAGCAGGUGUUUUAAUUUCUUAGGAACAAUAGCAUGUGGGGAAUAUCAUAUUAAAGGUUAUCUUAAGAAUAAUUGCAGGUGGAAAACAGUAUUUUAAUUUUUAACAUUUUAUGGUUGACGAGAUUAUAAUGUAGGUGGGAAAAUAGGACACUAUGAGUGGAUCUAGCAGCUCUCGAACUUUUUUUUGCACUAAAUCUAUUCACAAAUUACGUGUUUCUACCCUUCUCUUAUGUUUAGAAACUAAUAAUAAGUUUUAAUUGCCACUUAGUACUAUGGUCUGGUAGUAUUCAUCUUUUUUAUAAGUGAGAGAUCUUAGGUUCGAUUUUCGCCAACUGCAAAUUUGAAUCACAUUAUUGAUAGCGCAUUGUGAGGCUAAGUCCAACCCCUCUCCUUAAUGUAUUACAUCAAUUGUUAAAAAAAAAAGUUUUAAUUGGUUAGCAUAUCAUAUGAUGAACACAUUUCAAUAUAUGUAAUAUCCUCAUAACUUAAAUUACCAUUUUGUCUUUGAAAAUUUCAAUAAUCUUGUAAUAAUUUCAACCAACGAUUAUUAUAACAAAACUCAUAAACAAUAUUGUAGUAACUGACAAUUUGUCACACAUGAGUGGCCUUAAUUAUUGUUUUCAACAACUAAACUGAAAUUAAAAAAAAUUAAAAAAUAAAAACUCCACACUGAUAACCACAUACAGGGAGGGAGAUUUUUGUCCCAACACAUAUUUUAAGCAUGAAAUGGUCAACCAUUUGAGGUUUUGCUGUCUUUACCAAACCCAGUGAGUGUGCGCCUCUUUCUCUCUCUUUAUUUAUUUUCUAUUUUUGGUGAAACAUUCCGGUAACUAAAAGUUGUAUUUUUAAAGUGAUUAAAAACACUUUUAGAUUUCAUGUGUUUUUUUUUUAAAUUUAAUUGACGUAUUUAUUAAAAAUUAGUUUAAAAAAUAUUUUUUCUUUGAAUAAUUUCUAAACUGGUCUUAAAUAAUUAAUAUUUUUAUUUAAAUUCCAUUUUGUAUUUUCUUAUUUUGUUUCUCUUGCAUUUUUAAAUAAUUUCUUUUUUACCUUUUUAAGUCGUUUUUUUACGUUCCAACUGUACCUCUUGGGGGAGAAAUUUUUAAUUGUCAAGGGUACACAAGUGGCACAUCACAUGUUUCAAUAGAAGUGAUGAGAAAUUUUAUUUUUUAAGUUAUUAACUUUUUCGUAUAAAUAUCCUAUCAUUUGUUUAGUAAUGUGUGAUGUACCAUUCUGGUACCGAUCUCCCAUGUUGGGGAUAGGUAUAAAAGAACAUGCUGGAGUCGCCAGGUGACAAGUGGCUAAAUGCUAGAUAGUUUUCCCCCACGCGCCUUCUAAUAGUCUUGAGACACACCUUCCAAGUGUGUGCAAAUGACAAAGUUGCCGCACAACAAAAUUUUAGGUCGGCGGAAAAAUAUUAGCAUGUUGAUAUUAUACAGUAUUGCAACAUAACACGUCAGAAAGUUUCAAACUAUUUUUAUUAGUUUUAUUUAUAAUAAUGGGAAUUUUCACGAAAAAUUCUCGGUACUGUUUACUUUAACGAAAAACCAUAUUUUUAAACUAAAAAGUCAAUUAUGAUACUAUUCACUUUGCCCUUUAUUUUGUCCUUAUCGUUAAAACUCGAAGUUUUCAAGUCAUUUUCAUUAGUUUUCCUUAUAAUAAUUUAUUUGAUAAAUAAUUUAAAUAUAAUUUAAUAACACAAUAUGUCUUACAGUUUAAAAAGAUCAUCAAAUCAAUUGUUAAAAUUACAAUUUGUCGAUAUAAUUUGCCAACUAGUUCUUCGUAAUAUUCUACUAUUUAAUAUUACAUGCCAAAUUUUCACAUCCAGUUUACCAAAUUAAUGUCCCAGUUACAAAAUUUUAAUUGAUAAAUAAAUAAUCUAAGUUUACAAACGAGAUUCUACUCAUAAAUUACCCGUGUUUAUAGUUUGACAACAAAAAAAAAAAGUAUUUCUUAUGAGAUUUUACUAAUAAAAUAAUAAAAACUUAUAAUAUGUUUUCCUUUAAUUAAAAAAUAAAUAUACUCUUCUCGAAACACUAUCUACAAAUUUGUUCAAUUAACAAUCUUGACGAGAUGCUGUUUUAGACAAUGUAAAGAUUUUUUUUUAAAUAAUUAAAUAACGCUCUUACUCAUUAAUGUUAAUUUUAAGAUUUCAUUAACAACAACUUUCGUUCAAGUAAUUAUAAAAAGUAGAUCUAAACUCCAACGUGAAAAAUAAUCCAUAUAGAUAAAUUUUUAUGACAUAUGUUUUAUCGAUGCCUAACAACGACAUUUUGCUCGUAUUAACAAUAAAGGUAAGGGAAAUUUUAUUUGGACCCAAUUAUCUUAUCUAUACACCCAACUAAUAAUUUUUAUCUAUCAAACUUCCAAGUUUACCCUUAAAUAUAUAAGAAUAAGAGAAGAAAAGAAAAUAAACAUUGAUGUUUUUAUCUCUACAUCCCAUAACUCCAAAACUAAGACACCAGUGCACUCUUCCAUUAUUUCUAGCAAAACCACCCAAAUAACAGCAAAAUAUUCUCUUGAGUUCAUCAACGAGUCAGCUUGCUAGAAACCCUUAUCAGCCCUCAUUUAUAAUUUCAGUGUAGGUUUUCAGCUGAUAUGUUUACUUGUUUGAACCAUUAUCUUGGAGUUGGCUACUUGCAUAAAUUAUUAAAACUAACAAGUUAACUUGCUAGAAACCCUUGUUGCUAUCUCUUCUAAAUAGACACUGACAUGGAAACUUUUUUCUCAUAUUGCAGAAAUUUGUUUCCUGUCCAAUGAAUUGGUAAGAAGUUUUCUCUGCUGAAAUUAUAAAUGAGGGCCGCUAAGGGUUUCAUGCAACAAGGGUUCUAGCAAGCUUACUUGUUGAUGAACUCAGAAGAAUAUUUUGUUGUCAUUUGGGUGUGUUUCGCGGGAAAUAAUGGAGGAGUACAGAUGUGUGCCUUUUUUUGAAUUAUUGAGUGUAGAGAUAAAAACACCAAUGUUUAAUUUUUUAUAUUUUCUUAUUCUUAUUUAUUUAAGGGAAAACUUGAAAGUUUAGUAGAGAAAUUUUUUUAGAUAGGUAUAGAGAUAAGAUAGCUGGGUCUAAAUAAAAUUUCUCUAAAGGUAAAUUUCUUGAUUUUCUUAAGGGCCAAACAAGAGGAAGCGUGCUUCCACGCGCAUAUGCUUGCGUCUCAAACUAUAAAUCCUCGGGUCUUCACGACAGAGCCAUUACAUAAAAAAAAACAGGAAAUAGAGGGGCCAAAACUCAAAUAAAAGUAUAAAAAAUAAUAUUAUUUUCCAAAAUAAAUACAUAAAAUAAGUUAUUAAUUUUUUUGCUUCCGGGAGAAAGAAAAUAAAAAUAAUUAUAAAAAGGAAAAAUCAGAAAUUAAGAAACCGGCUGCUGUAAACACCAAAAACCAGAGAGAGAGAGAGAGAGAGAGAGGAGAGAGAGAGAGUGCUGCUGAUCAAAUUUUCUGCUCAAUAGAAUUUACACGCAGGAAGCGUCUCUGAAAAGCAUAAGAUUGUUGCUGUUGGCGAAAUCGAAGCUUUCAGAAACCCAGUUGGGUUUGUUUAAUUUUGUAAAUUCGUUUUUAAUUUGGGAAAUUUGGAAGAUUUUGAAUUUUGGGAUUUAGGGUUAUUGAUUUCUGAGGGUGGUUGUGUGAUCGGUGAGAAUUUGAUUGAUUUGGGAUUUUGGGUUGUGUUGAAUGGGUCGUGGUUUGAUUAGUAGUUGUAGAUUUUGAGAGAGGGGGAGAGAUUUGUGGAUGAUUUCUGUGCGGACUAGGGAUGCAAGGGAGGGGGUAGAAUUAGGGUUUGGUGGUCGGAGAGAGAUGGAGGAUACUGAGCUUGAAGAAGGCGAAGCUUGCUCUUCACACAUCAAUGAAUACGAUUCCAACAUCGAUGCUCUCUCUUACAUCGUAAGCGUAUAGCACAUAAAUAAACACAUAUAUGUAUAUAUACACGUAGAUUUGUAUGUACAUGUGUUUUUGCUGCUUAUUGGUUUUGAAUUGCUAGAAACUUUUCGGGUUGACUUGUAUCGGUUUGCUAGAUCCGAGCUAAUGGAGUUUUUGAAUUUGAAUACUUUGGUUGUGUUAAGAAUUUAAGGGUACGUAAUGGAAUGAGAACUUUUUAUUGAAUUAAAUUGGUGUAGAAAUCUCUUACUUGAGUUUAAGAAGUUUAAAAAUUUGAUAUUUGCUUUGAGGGAGCGGAAACUGUAGUUUAGGAUUUCGUUACUUAGCUCAUGUUCUUGUCAUGUAAUUGCGUUGCUAACAUAUCGUAUUCAUCCACUUUGUAAUGUGAGUAUGUAUCCCUCUUUGACUUAUGGACGGGCGUGAAAAUGCUGUUUUGAGAGGUUGGAUCAUGUAAUAAUUGGAAUUUGCACUGAACUUACUGGUUAUGAUAACGGUUUAACGUGCCAUAGAACUUCCCUUGCAUACGAUUCAGUUUUGGAGUCUCUGUAUCCAUAUUGGGCUACUGUGUAGUUAUGAUUUAUGCGGGAUAGUAAAAUCUGAAUGUUAGAAAUCAAGUUUUGUGGAAUUUAUCUAUGCUUCAAAUGCAAUGGGUGACCUUCAAAAUCUCAAAACCCCAGUUUUGAUACUUGUUUUAAGUAUUUUUGUAGGGUCAUGAAGUGUGAUUGCUCUAGGUAAUUAAUAUUUGGUAGCUCGACAUUGUAGUAUCUUAAAUCUUAAAGAUGCCUGAAUCCUAUGAAGAGUGUUACUGAAGUAUAACCGCCUUGUUUCUAGCUCUUACUAUUACUUAACGUCUUUUUGUCGAGCUUUGCAUUUUAAUGAUUCAUAUUGCUCUCUCUGGUAUUAGGAUGAUAGAAUUCAGGAUGUUUUGGGACACUUCCAGAAAGAAUUUGAAGGUGAGGUAUCUGCGGAGAAUUUGGGUAAGUCAAUAGAACGGAAUUACAUUAUCUCUUGUGCUUGAGAGAUGCAUUAAUUUGGAGUUCCUUCUCUUUAAGUAAUGAGUUGGCAAUCAAUACAUUGAAACAGGGGCAAAGUGGGGUGGGUAUGGCUCUUUUUUACCGUCCUAUCAGCGGUCUCCAGUGUGGUCUCAUCCGAAGACUCCACAAAAAGUUCACAACUACAGCUUACUCAAAUCUCCCAACAAUUUGAAACUUGAGGUAUCAACUUUAUCAGCAUAUAAUUUCCUACUUAUAUCUAGUUCUGUACAGAUAAAUCUUUGUCUCUGUUUGUUUCUUUGACAAUUCUCAGUUUACUUGAGCAUCUUUCAUUAUUUUUCCGCACAGUCUGGUCAACGUAACAAUGCAGUUUGUUAUAAUACACCUCAGUCAGUGGGAGUAGGACCUGCUUCUACUGGUUCCACUUCGCUUGUUGUACCAAAGGCACCCUCAUUAGUUCAACCUGACCAGUACGCUCCUCGGCAUGAAUCUGCAAACAAGAAAGCUAUCAAUUCAUCAGACCAGAAAACAUUGAAGGUGCGAAUUAAAGUGGGAUCAGAUAACUUGUCGACACGAAAAAAUGCUAUCUACAGUGGGCUUGGCCUUGAUACCACACCGUCUUCCUCACUAGAUGAUAGCCCUUCAGAGAGUGAAGGGAUAUCUCAUGAGCCUCGAGAUGCCCCAUUUGAAUCUCCCACCAGUAUUCUUCAGGUGAAUCAUCUCCCUGUAAUAUUCAGAUGUUUUCUGUUUUAGAAAUAGUGUGCUUAAACUGAAACAUUUAUUUUGGCGCCGCUCUGGAGCAGAUUAUGACAUCCUUUCCGGUGCAUGAGGAUAUGAUGUCACCUCUUCAUGACGACCUCAUUUACUUGAUUGAAAAGGAAAAGCUUCUAAAAGAGGGUACAGCGAGUGGAACUCAUACCAUGGAGGGUGGUGAGAAAGUAUCAAGAGCAAGGAAAACAAAAUCGGUCGAAAGAAAUGAUUUGGCUGGAAAGGUUCAGGAAGAUAGAAAAGUAAAUUUAAGCGAUGACGUUUUGGCUCAUCCAAAGAAAGAGGGCCGUUGCAGAGGAGAGAAAACUUAUGAAUUGGUAAAAGGUGACUUAAAUGUUUCCAAAGGGAGGAAAGCUUUAAAUACUGAAAUCAUGGACCAUUCAAAGCAGAAAAUCAAUCAGAAGGCUGGAUUGCAUGAGGUGGAUGAUACAAGACUAUAUUCUGGGAAGGAGUAUCCGCUACCCGGGGAAAAAAAGAAACCGAAGGAAAGUCAGAGUACCCCAGUUGCUGAGAUGCCAAAAGAAAGCUCAAGGGUUUGUUCUUCUUCAGUGCCCAAGAUGAAGAGCACGCAUGCGAACAGUUCUAAUACUGAUCAAAGUAGGGAUACAUAUAGAGAUCUGUUUGGGGAUAUAGAUGAAAAUAACCAAAUAAAUUUAUUUGAACUUCCCCUUGAAGAGAAGCUUAAGGACACUGAUGCUGUUGCAAAAAGCACACCUGUAGUUAACAGUACAUCAAGGGAGAGACAAAAUGGCAAUAAAUUUGAUAAACCAUCAUCAAUUGCAGACUCACAUCCUAUGAUGGCUUCAAAUAUACUCCCACGUUCUGGAAAUGGGCCCGUGUCUGCUGUGCCUCCUGCUACAGGGGCUCCUGCACUGAUAAAAGAUAAUUGGGUGUGUUGUGACAAGUGUCUGAAAUGGCGGCUUCUUCCAUAUGGUACAAACCCGGAGAGCCUACCUGAAAAGUGGCUGUGUAGCAUGCUUAAUUGGCUGUAAGUUCCUUUCUAGUAGGCAUUUUCUAACCUAUCACUACAUUCAUUAUAUUACAUGGUAUAUCGCUAUAUCCACAAAACCUGAACUGGUAUAUUGAUAAUAUAUGCCAUUUUAUAAUGUGUAAUGACUGUUCAUUCCAAUCUCUGCCUCUCUGUUCUCUCUCUCUCUGAAGCUUGAUCUCUUGAUUCAAAUUUAGGCCUGGGAUGAAUCGGUGUAAUGUAAACGAGGAUGAAACAACAGAAAAGACGAAAGCUCUAAUUCCACAGUACCAAGUUUCUGCCCCUGAGAGUCAAAGUAAUCUGCCUAGAAAUCCUGGUUUAAUGGAAGGAGUGGCAUUGACUAAGCCUCUGAACCCUGACCAAAACCUUGAAAAUUUUGGUUUGCCUGGCAUGCCUAGUAGUGGAAAGAAAAAAAAUGGAGCAAAAGAAUUGCCAAAUGCAACUAAUAAGGAUGGUUCCAUUCAGUUUCCAAACUCCAUGAAGAAAACCGUGCAGGCAUCAGUGAAGAGUAGAAGCUUGAAUGAUGUGAAUCAGUCUCCACUGCCAAGUGAACCUGAUUUGCAGCAGCUAAGCAAGUCCAGUGACAUGACUGUGGAGAAACGGAAACACAAGUACAGGGAGAAGCAUAGAGAUUUAGAGCCCUCUACUAGGGGAGGUAUGGCUUAUGAAGCAGCGUUUUUUCUUUGUCCUUUUUAAGCCAUCCUUAAUCAUGUUGAAUGCUAUUUACUUACUAAUAAAGCACGUCAAACAGGUGACAUCAAGAAUUUAAAGAUAAAGAGCAGAAGAGACUCCGUUCCAGAUUCUUCUCGAGCUUCCAAGAAAAUCAAGACUGAAGUUAAACAUAUUAAUGAUGAAGGAUGGACAUCAGACUACAAUUGGGCAGUUGGGGAGGUAGGUCCUAGCUCAAGUGGUGCUGCAGCAGGGAAAGAUCAAAUUAAGAAUAGGUCACAUGCUGCUUCUAUUACAAAAACAAAGGAUGAAGUUUUCUUAAAAAGUCGAUCCUUAGAUGUGGGAAACUGUGAUUCUAGAGGUAGAUCAAAAAAGAGAAAAGUGAAGGAAUCCUCUGACAUGGGUUCCCUUCCAGCUACAGGGUGUUAUGUUGAGGAUCAUUCAGUUGCUGUGAAGGAGGAGUUUAGUGAGAACGACCGCAGGAAAGAAAAGAAGGCAAGGACUUCUAAAUCUGAUGGAAAAGAGUCUAGUGCAAGCAAAGGAAGUGGUAGAACAGACAAAAAGAGCAGCCAUACAAAGAACCAACAACAUAGAAAAGAUAUUGGCAGCAGUUUAACUCACCGGAGUAGGAAUGGUAUGGAUUCCUUGAAAAAAGAUUUGGGAUCUGUACAGGUUCCUAUGGCUGCAACUUCAAGCUCCUCCAAAAUCUCUGGUUCCCAGAAAACCAAAUCCAGCUUUCAGGAAGUUAAAGGUUCACCCGUAGAAUCCGUCUCAUCUUCACCUAUGAGAAUCUUGAAUCCCGAUAAGCUUACAUCAGUAGGCAGGGACCUCAUUGGAAAGGAUGAGUCACAAAAUGCUGGUCAUUUUGCCAUAGGUAGCCCAAGAAGAUGCUCAGAUGGCGAAGAUGAUGGUGCGAGCGAUCGAUCUGCUACAGCGAGGAAGGACAAAGUUUCCACCGUGGCUUAUCAUGGGUCUCAUGAGUCUUCUGUGCUUGAUUUCCAGGACAGAGAUUCUAAUCACAUAUCUGGUGGUAAAGGUAGAGGGCAGGUUGCCCCAUCGCCGGAUAUCACAAAUGGUCUUUCUAUGAAUGGUGCUUUGGGUAAUUCAGGUCAAGAUACUGGGUGUCCUAAACCUUUGGCUUCUAAUCAAUUUGGUGGUGAAUACAGAGAGAAUGGAAAGCAUUAUAACUCUAAUGGAUCUCACCCAAGAAAGUCAGGGAAGGGAUACUCUUCUUCAUGGUUAAAGGACAAGAAUGGGAGCUUUGAAUCUGAUUUGGACAUUGGUGAGGCCAAGAAUUCUAAAGUUCUCAGUGAACAGAAGGAUCAUUCACCCUCCCAUGGAAUAAAACCCGGGGAUGGUAAAAACAAGUGUGGGUCUAAAUCUGGUCAAACUGAGAACAAAUAUGUCAGCAAGAAAGAUGUUACUGGAAAAUCUUCCUUUGAGAGCAGUAAAAGGGAAGGUCAGUCGAAUUUCGGGGGGCAUGAUGGCCCAGAUGUUAAGCCAGAAAUCAUUUGCAAAAAAGAUGCAAUUUCUACUCCCAAGCAGAAUUCGCUGCAAGAUUGUGAUGGUGAAAGGUUCUCAAAGAUUCCUUCCGGAAAAACUGAACGAGUGGAUGCAGGCUCAGUUAGGGGGAAGUCACUACCCUUGCCAACCUCUGGUGGGGCUCAAAAUGAGACCACAACCCGUUGUCCUCGACCAGCUGUGGGUUCUCAAAAAGGUAAUGGAGCAGAUAGCUCACAAGUUGAUGCCUCUGAAGGUAAUGAUGCUCUGAAGCAAAUACAAACCAGAAAGGUUGAUAAUCAGAAUGGAACUCAGCAUAUCAGUUCAAGGCAUCUUUUACAGAAUGGGCACAGUGCCAGGGAUAUUGAUGCCCCUAGUCCAGUUAGAAGGGACUCCAGCAGCCAGGCUGUUACUAGUGCUCUGAAAGAAGCUAAGGAUCUAAAGCAUCUUGCUGAUCGCGUCAAGGUUUUAACCUAUCAUAUUUUCAUGAUUAGAUAUUUCUGUUCUCCUUUCUGCGAUAAUUAUGUGUAAUACUAAUCCUUGCAGAACACCGGGUCAACUUCCGAAAGUACGGGGUUUUACUUCCAAGCGGCUGUCAAAUUUCUUCAUGCUGCCUCUUUGUUGGAGAAUAUUGAUAGUGCCAAGCAUAAUGACAUGACUCAGUGCAUGCAAAUGUAUAGUAGCACCGCAAAACUAUGCAAGUAAGUCAAGUUUGAGCUGUAUUAAUACUUCUGUUCUCAUGGCACAUGCACUGGUUUUGGGUCUUGGUGAGUUGUGUUGACUUUUGCAACCUUGCUGUGAGUCCUUGUCUACCCUUCACGGAACCCUGCAUGUGUGAAUUGGGACCCAUAAUAUGGUUGUACGCAAUUUUAGGAAGUACUUUCAACUAUAUUUUUGUGGUUUUUUCCCUCAUGUGUUUGGACUUACAUCUAAAGCCUUUUUGGAUUGGGUUGGGAGGGGUCACAGAGACAGUGUCCUUUUGCAUAGCAUUAGCUCUUAAGAUGUAGGGAGUGAUCUUCUCAUAAUUGAUUUUGCCAUCUUUGGUCAUUAGAAUAGUUAUUGGCAUGUACUGUAGUAACAAUUGUAGGAGCCAUCCCAUUUUUUUAAGCGUUCUUUGCGGGCUUUUAUAUUUAUGGGUUCUGGAGCUUUCAUGCCUGUUCUGCUUUUCCUUAUUAAUUUAAAUUAUCUGUAGGUUUUGUGCUCAUGAAUAUGAGAAAGCCAAGGAUAUGGCUGCUGCUGCUUUGGCCUACAAAUGCAUGGAGGUGGCUUAUAUGAGGGCGGUAUACUGCUCACAUGCCAGUGCAAGCAGAGAUCGUUUUGAGUUGCAAAGAGCUUUACAAUUGGUUCCUCCUGGUAAAUUGACCAGUCUAAGUGAGCUGUUACUUGGUUCUAGAGGAGAUGCAAGGCUCUUAAUAGCCUUGUUUUGAAUUGUUGCUAAUUUGAUAUCCUUGCUGCUUUUCUAUCAGGUGAAUCUCCUUCUUCCUCUGCCUCUGAUGUUGAUAACCUAAAUAACCCCUCAACGGUUGACAAGGUUGCCUUACCCAAGGGCGUUAGCUCUCCCCAAGUUGCUGGAAACCAUGUUAUUGCUGCCCGAAACCGUCCCAAUUUCCUCCGGAUACUCAAUUUUGUAAGUUUAUAUAGAUCCUAUAUUGAAACUUCAAUUUGUUACGCUUGUACUGUUGCACAAAUUUUCAUCACAAUUAAUUUAUUCUAGAUUUUUAGUAUGUAUAACGUGGUCAGAGAAGGGCAUGAACAAGAAUUGACUAUCAAUUUAUUUAAGAAUGGGUAUUCUCCUUUUACAAUAGAGAGGUGUGGACAACGAAUGAACAUUUUGUAAAUAUGAUUACUUGCAGACUCAGGAUGUAAAUUUUGCAAUGGAAGCGUCGAGGAAAUCGCGGCUUGCAUUUGCAGCUGCUAAUACAAACACGGGAGAUGCUAAGCGUUCAGAAGGUAUUUCUGCCAUUAAAAGGGCUCUUGACUUUCACUUCCAAGACGUAGAAGGAUUGCUACAUUUGGUACGGCUCGCAAUGGAUGCUAUCAGCCGGUAAAAGAGGCAAGUAGUUUUGGGAUGAUUCAACCCUCGAAGGUUUAUCUAUUGGUGAAUCCUUGGUCUCAUGCCUUAAGAAGGGAGGAAAAAGAGGCUGUCCUUGAUACUUCUGCUGAACUGCUUGGAACUUUUGUUGAGGAACUGGUUGUUUCUCUUCUUGUUUCAAGUAGAUGACUCCUAGUCAUUUUAUUUUGUGGUCCUGAAUCUGCUUGCAAGCGCUGACAGAGACCAAACAGGUUAUUCAGAUCUCAAUUAUUUAUUUUGAGGUAUUGUGAACCAUCGUCAAGUACAGCUCUGCUGAAAAGGUUCUGAGCAGCUUCUGAAGGUGGAUUUACUUCAUCAAGAAUGUGAGGAGAGAUAUAAUAGUUGUAUAUAAGGACGAGAAAACGAGUUCUAAAAUCAAUAGGGGAUUUAUUUCGAGUCUCAAAACCAGAACUUACAGCUUUGGGGAUCCUUUAUUGUUCAGACUGUUAACUUAUCUUGAUAAUCCGUUAUCUUGAACUGUGUGGAGAAGACUCUGGCAGCUGCCAGUAUGUGCGCAAACUGUCUGAUCUGAUUCAACAGAUUGAGACCAUAUCAACACUGUAGAAAAUGGUGAAAACAAUGGAAACCGUAGGUAUGCUGUUGUUCUAAUAGAUAAUCUCUUAUUUUCCCCAUCAAACCUUUUUUUCUUUUCAGUUACCAUUUUAGUUGUUUGCACUUUUUUGUCUGAAUUUGAUUUUGAUACAUGUGCAGGUUGUCUUCACCUUUGUUGUAGUUAGGAUAUCCUCUUUUGCGUUAAUAGACACGAAAUCAGAAAAAGAAAAAAAAUACAUUAUCAGCGAAUUAUUGUCACGGUCAUGCAUGUUAGCUCCAACCUGCUGCGCUUGCCUGAGUUUCUUUCCUCAAAGGUUUGUUAGCUGUUAUUGUUGUGAAAGUUUGAUGAUUCAUUCUGUGUUCAUUCGUCUCCAACCGGCUUUCUGUUUUCACUUUCUCCUUCCAGUGGCUACAAUGUAUAUAUACAAAUUAUUGAAGAAUCUGCACGUGUUUCCGUCUGUAAAGAGAAGGGGAUCGGUUGGAUAUUAUUAGGUCGGUCCUUGAGAUCUAACAGGUAAGGUUCUAAUGCUUUUGUAAUGUUAAAUCUGUUCUCCAGACUUCAGAUAAUUAUAAUUACUUUUCCAUGCAUGAGAGUGAGAGGAGACAGCAUUGAACCCGAUUAUUCUAGCGUAGUGAUCUUCACAUUCCCGUUUUCUCCUUUUGCAUUUGUUUCCGUCUCUUGAUUCUCCUUGGAUUUAAUUCAGUCGAAGGACUAGAAAAAGCAAUAUCAACUCUAAUAAGAAUGCAAUGACUGAUCACCCCCUUAGUUCAAAUCUUGCAUUUAUAGGAGCAUAUAAUGUUUCGUUAACCGGACGGGGUCUCUGCUUGCAGGUUGAGCAGCGGGCGGGGGCGGUUCUCUAUCUAGUAGACAACUGAGUUCGAUGUGAUAUUCUUGUUUCGAGUUUUGCCGGAUGUGGGUAGUGCAUAGUUUCCGAAUAGCUAGUCACUAAACGAUUGUUUAGGUUUACACAAUAAGGUUUAGAAUUACUUCAAUAGUUGAUUACCCGUAGCGACAGCGAUAGUAAUUAUCCGGGUUUUGUCAAUAAAGCUUUGAGUUUGAAGGAAUGACAUUCAUGGCAGAAGCUGGAAGUGGAUACCUGUGUUACAACCGUUUUCAAAUAUUCGACUACUGAAUGCUGCUCAAAAUGUCGCCGGGAGCACCGAGCCUUUGAGAUUGGCAUAAUUUCUCACUUUGAUCUCUGAGAUUUAAAAUCAAUAGAAUUGGUCUCUUUUGUCUAUUGUUUAUGACAGAUUUGAGUUUUAUUGGUUUUCUAAAAAGACCACGUUUGUUACCAAAUUGCCCUUGAACACCGCCAUGCCACACCCGCCAUUUCGAGAGUUUGGAUCUGAUUUGAGUCAUCGGGUUCUCUUGGAGGCUUUGCGUCGAUGGGACUUCCAAAUAUCGCAGAUUUGAUUGCACGAGGAGCCGUUGGCAAUGCUCCGGGGAUGGAUGAACAUUUGAAGGGUGUUAGGGUUUAUGUUGUGUAGAGAGAGAGGUUAUAUAAAAAAUUCAAGUAAUGUGUACUUUUUUGUUUUUUCAUAAAUUAAAAAUUAUAAAAAAAAGAAAGAAAAGUCUUAAGAGUGGGGUGAAUUUAGAUAGAGUUGUGCUGCAAAUGGCUAUCUACCAUAGUGGUGGAAAUAAGUGUUGUCUUUGUACCAUUGCGUGAGUUCGAAUUCCUUCGGCUCUUUAAUCUAACAUCUAAUCUAAUAAAUUUAUCUUUUGAUAACAACAAAAAAACAAUAGAGUUGUGUUUAAAUAGAAAAACGGUAACGAAACCGAAAAGUAGUGUGUAAAUCAUUAUUUUUGUGAAAAUGAUAAUUGUUGAGUUUUUGGGAAGUCGAUGCUUGAACUUUAACAAGCUAGAUGGUUAUUAAACAUCUCAAAAAAACCGAUGAAAUCCUGAGUUAUAGCUCGCAAUUUUUAUUAAAAAUGUAACUUUUGAGUUUUCUUGAUAUCUUUUGCAUGUGUAAAUCUGUAAUAAGUAUUUUUUUUAUUAUUAUUAUUAGUUUUAACCUCAAAAGUAGAAAAUUAAGAAAAAUUCUAGCUGGAACAAAAACUAGCCAAAAUGUCAAUAAAAUCGUGAAUUAUAAUUCACAGUUUUUAUGACCAACAAACCUCACCCUUAAAUUACAUGGUCCCUUGGUCACCUGGCGACCAACGAAUGCUUUUAGGCCAUCUCUAACCAAAGGAGGGUCAAAAGGCUCCCUUUAGCCUUAUAGCUCUGCAAGAAAUUAUAUUUUAAUGAACAGUGAUAUACCAUAUUUUACACCAUCUCUAACCGAGAGGGCCAAAGGGCCAUAGGCUAGACAUAGCCCUUUGACAAAAAACUAUCUCCAACCGAGGGGGCCAAAGGGUCAUAAGUCAAAAUAAUUUAUUAGUUUAAUUAAAUUAAUAUGGUUAAUUAAAUUAAACUACGAUAUUAAAAUAAGAUUUUCGGACAUAUUUUGAGUGCCACUUGUCGCCAAAUGAAUAAGCCUUCGGAUUUCUUAUCUUUAUAUAAUCUCAAUAAUAUUUUGGAUAGGAUUUCGAGUAACACGUGUCGCUAACGUGAGUAACUCCAGAUUUCUUAUCUUUAUGUAAUCUCAAUAAUUUUUCGGAUAAGAUUUCGAAUGCCACGUGUCGAGAUGUAAUUGGUUGUGCAAAUUUUAGAUAGAAUUCUUAUCUAUGUGACACUUCUUAUCUUCAGUUUUCAAUGUUGUAGGAAUGGUGUAGGAAUUUAUAGGAUUUUUUUUUUAAAAUUCGUCCAAAAAAAAAAUAUUUCAAAUUCCAACGGUAACCUGACGGCUGCAUGACGUUAGCUAGCUGACGCCAAGUAGCCAUUGCCAUUCAAAUAGGCACCAGGUAGCCAUUGCCAUUCAAAUGGGUUGAGGUGGAGGGCUGGUAAAAUGUCAAGCUUGACAUUCUGGAGCGGGAGGGUUGGCAAAAUGUCAAGUUUGACAUUAUGGCGUUGGAGGCCUGGCUAGAAAUGGCUAGCCCACUGUCCUAGUUUUGGGGUUUGGGCCUUGUGGGGCCCACAAGCCCUUUGGCCUGCCCUCAGAUGGAGACGUUUUUCGUGUCAUUCCGAGCUAUUUUUAGCCAUAUGGUUCUUUGGCCAGGUCAGUUGAAGAUAGCCUUAAUGUCUCAAACUCAACUGUUGAUAUCAAAGAAUAAAUGUACGAAUUUGAAUAUCAAAUCAAGCGGUGAGUUGCCAUUUAUUCUUGGUCACUAGGUAAACCAAGAGAACAAAACUCACGAAGCAUAAACCAAAGACUUUUUAGCCGUAAGAGUCCCCUGAGAUUGGCUAAUCUCAUUUUGGUCCCUAACAAUAAAAUUUGAUAAAAGUGAUCCCUUUGUCCACCGUAUAUCAUUUUGAUCAUUCCGUAAAAAAUCUAUCAAUAUCCUCUUUAAAUUGUCACGUGAGCGACCACCUUUUUAAAGGUAUUUUUGUCACGCCAGACCCUCCACUUCACAAGAAUGUUAACUUUUUCAUGAAAUGACCAAAAUAAAUUUAAAGUGAACAAGCUCAUAGACCGCUCGUAUUGAUUUUCACGUUUAGAUACCAAAGUGGGUAAUUAUGUUAAUCUUGGGAGAAAAAGUUUACACUGGUUUGGACUUGGAAACCUCGUUAAGCAACCACGAACACAAAAAUCUUAAUAAUAUUUGCCAUUAAUAAAUAGUAGUAAUAAUAACAGGGAUAUGGGUCAAUUGCACAAAAAUGGCGUUAAGACCGGAUUGCACAAAAAUCUUCCACUCCUUCCAAAAUCCUAGCAUUUCUAAAAGAGCUGCACACAAUUUACAGCAGAUCUCUCGGCUCUCAAGUCCGAAGAAGAAGAAGAAGAAGAAACUAUGGUUCGAGCUUUCUGAUUAGGGUUUUCAACUAGUCCCUAGUAUAUACCCACGCAACCGAAUCAGGCAAGAUACUUGAACAUGUUGGGGUUUUCCUUGUCCCUCUCCAGGUAGUCCCGAGUGAUGAGAUCUUCAAUCCGCUUCUUAAUCGCUUUUAUGUCCGGCUGCACAUUUCAAGUCCGACCAUAACCCGUUGUCAGUACAGAUUAAACGGGAACAGAGAAACGCGGAAUAUAUAGAUAUGGACAUGAGAAUAUGAACGUAAAUUGAAAAUUGCAUUCAAUGACAAACAUAAUGUGGUACCUUGAACAUUUUUCCCAGCUGCUCAACGCACUCCAUGACUAAUUGUUGAUGACCCAAAACUUUUCGACUCUUCAUGAUCCUAACAAUAGCAGCAUCAAUAGCAUAUCUCCGGUCUUUGUCAACAUCUUCAAUCACCUUCUUCCUUUCGUCCACUGGUGGGAGAGGAAUCUAAGGAUAACAAAACAGCAAACUUUAAUUAAACUUCAACUAUCAGAACAAGAAUGAAGUGGAGAAAAGUAUAGGGAUCUCAGACCUUAAUUCUUCUCAUUUUAUCUGUGAACUUCUUGUUGAAUUCAAAGCUGUCAUUCGUUGAGAUGGUCUUUGUAAUUGGCUGCUUGGUGAGAAUCUUGUACUUGGCACACGAGAGCGAAUGAAGCAAUCUAACCAAGUCGUCGUGAGUAAGGUUCAACUGAGUCAGUAUUUCUGAAUAGCUCAAUUUAUCAGCACUGUUGAAGAGGAGCAAGAGAGCAGCCUGUGAAAAAAAAAGGCAACAAAAUAUAGUCCCCAUACUCGAAUACAAUCUUGAAAAGGUGACAUUCUGCCAAUGGCCAAAAUAAUUAAGCAAAAUAGUGCAAUAACCUGAUAGGUUGACACGACCAAUUCAAUCGGUCUGGUGUCAAACUUGCCAGUAACAUUGCACGUGCCCAAUGAGUAAAUCCAUGUAAGUUUCCGGUGUUUCGUUUUUGUUUCAUAGAAUGACUUGAAAACUUCAACACACCUAACCUGGAGCACAAAUAUAUAACAAACAUAUGGGCAUCAGGUAUACCGCAAUUGGGAACAUGUGUAUUUCCAAGCACAAUCUAUAUAUUUGCAGUGCUAAUCUUCAACAAACUAAAUAUUACCAUCUCUUCAGGAAGGUUAAGAUCAAACGAUUUAUAACUUGGCCAGUAGCCAGUUGUAAGUACAGUGACUGUCAAGUCCAUCCCAGGAUUUACAGCAGGGUUACUUUGAAGAUAUUCCUCAAACCCUUUCUGGUUGUCUCGAGCUAUUGUCAAAUCUGUGACCUGAAAGAUAAUUUAGGAAAUUUAAUUUAGGUCAAUAGAUAAGUUCAUAUGUCAGCAUAGGUCAAUAGAAACAAUUUUCUACUUCAACUAUGAUCAAUAAAAAUAAUUUUCCUAUCCAACUUAUGUCAAUCCUAGUAUUAAAAAUAAAGGAAACUAAUGAAAAGGGUUUGAAAACUUUGAGUUUUAAUGAUAAAGACAAAAUAAAGGGUAAAGUGAAUAGUACCAUAAUUGACUUUUUAGUGUAAAAAUGUGGUUUUUCGUUAAAGUGAACAGUACCGGGUGCUUUUCGUUAAAGUUCCCUAUUUAAAAAUACUCUGUGAUCUCAAAGACAAAUAUCUCUGGAAACAGAGGAAGAUAAUGAGAGUACUUGCAGGAUGUGCAUCAGAUGGAUAGAUAAUUGGAGGUAUAUCAUGUUUUCUUAUGUUGCACGUAAUUGUUAUGAAGUGACCCGGUAACCAGUAGCUUACUUUGUAGACACUGGAAAGGGUUGUUCCCCAAUUGGGGUUUUAACUCUCUUGCUCGAGAUAUAAACAUUUCCAUACGAAAUUAACCAUAGUUCGACAGAAAAAAAAGGGGGAACUAUCUCUAUUAAUGGUGGAGUAACAGUCAGAAACAUUCCCAGUGAAAAAAACAGGCCCACUCACCAUUCCCUCCAUUUUUGACGUAAACUGUCCACCACAUUGCUGCUUCAGCUUUGUCAGAAUACUUCUUUCGUGGUCCUCAUUGGCACUCCGAUCAAAAAGUAACCGACGGGCUAGUUUUUUCCUGUGUAUUGAAAACAGUUACUUAUUGUCUACUGAGCCGACACGCGCACACACACACACACAUAUGUUGAGUACAAAGACACUGUUACCUCUUCAUGAUCAUUUACCAUGUUGUCUACUGACCCACUGGCUAAAAGAACUCGUAUCACUUAUAUGACCCAAGACUUUGUACUAUUAACCAUUGGAUUUUCACAUAGUAACUGGUACAUGCCUUUUUAAAACACUAACCGGAAAGUAUCUGACAAGAACUUAAAUUGUAAGACACACAAAACCAUAUAUGGUAUAAACUGAGAGGAAAAAUAAACGAUUUACCUGUAGAAUUCUGCAUAAAGGUCUUUGUCACUGAUAUAAGCAAGCAGCUUAACAACCUGAAGAAAGUUAAAUGACAAUCUUAAAAUUAAUCAAAAGACUAAAUGAGUUCAAUAAGAAUUACCAAACGCAUCACCAACAAUAAAUGAAAAUUCGUAAUAUGAAAAACCCUCCAUAAAAUAAUACCUUCUCAAGCAUUUCUUCUAUGGCCUCAUCACUCAACUUAUCACUGCCACCCUUCUUGAGGAUAUUAUCACAGAAUCCAGCAAGUAAUUCAGCACUUGAACUCCCAGAAACGGAUUUAUUGCAAAAUACCUCAAAAGCCUCUUUCAAAGCCUAUUAAACAACCAAUAGAAAAGGCCCUUUAGAUAACGUAACAUGACAAAUGUAAAUAACACGAAUUCUGCAACACUAACCUUGUGAAAGAGUGUGUGGUUCUGAAAGCUUUCAUCAACAUAUUUCAUAUACUUGUCAUGCAGCUCAAUUAUGUUUUUGAUAAGAGCCUGAAAACCACAAAAGAUACAUCAACCACGGACCUCCAAUCACUGCCGAAAUUAUUAAAUAAUAGUAUUAAAUUAGUUACCUGUUCCUGUGUGCCAGCUCCACCUGAAGCCUGCAGAAGCAAUUUCGAUACAAAUUAACAACAUAAUCAUAAAAAGCAAGAUGAAUACGUAUAUAGUUCACUCCAGGAUGCUUAAUUGGAUUCACCAAUGCACACAUAAUAAAAAAUCAAAUAAUAAUACUGAUAAAAAGCCCUUGGCACACUUAGUCAACAAGCAUUCAAGAAAAGACAGCUUACUGUCAGGCCAGUAAAUUUCUAGCCAAAAAAAGGUCAACUUAAAACAAUCAUCUCAUUCCAGCAACACUUUAUUCUCUUCUGCCUCAAUAGAUUAGCACAUAUAAUGCCAUGAUCCAUUUGAACUUAAUAAGCGUUUGAGUCAAAGCUCCAAGAUGAGUAAUUAAAUGUGCAUCAAGCAACCAUGCAAUAACAUCAACUCAAACAUCACUCACUCAAAUCGUAAGUUGUAAUUAUACAAUGAAAAAACAUGUUAGUACAAAAGCAAGUUUCAUAUAUGUGUAUAUAUAUGGGUUAGGAUGAAGGGACAAACAUUUCAACACGUAUUUUUACACUUCUUUUCAAUCUUCAGAUUUAUCACAUCCAAGGGUCCAAAUUAAAAGUGAUGUGAAGACUUUAAAUCAACAAAUGACAUCUACAAGACGCACCAAAGACAUCUACGAAACGCAUCAAAUAGAGGCAACAUGCAGGAAUUUUAGUGAUUGGCAAUUACACUCCAGCAUGCAUACACCAAAACAGAAUACAAAACACAUCCAGCAAUCACACCUAUACUUAAGUUCAAUAUAUCUUUCAGGAUAAAUAUAUGGCAGCAAUAACACCAAGACACUAGUGAUAUGUCACUUUCAGCAUAAACAUAACGAGAUUCUUUUUUGCAGCAAACCCUAAACACAAGAAGAUAAUGAACCUGGUUAGCUGCAGCAUCUUCAGCCUGUUGAACCAAGGCUGUACCUUCGGCAGUAAUAUGCUGCAAACCAUCAAGUAUGUUAGUACUGUUGUAAUAAAUGAGCAUCUGAAAGAGAUCGGAAGAACACAAACAAAAAACAAACUAACCUGUUUAAAUACAAGACUAACAGGGUCCAAGCCUUUAGGUAUUUUGUUGUAAAGUCUAAAUAUCCUAGAAAGACCGUCAGCCUAGACACAAACAAGCAGACAUAGUCUUAGAAAUACAAUAGAAGAUAGAUUGCCAACAGGAUCAUAAACUGCCAGGCAACAAGAUACCUUAUCCAAUCUCAGUAAAGCACGACAUCCAGAACCCUCCUUCUCAAGCAGUUGAGUUGCAUAAACCACCAACAACUCAUGUUGCACUUUCUACAGGCAAGAGUGCAACUAUAAUUUAGAAGAACUUGAAAGAAAAUAACAUCAUAAUACAAGACAAAUGAGAUUAAAAAUAAUACAAAUUAUCAAACCAAAACUGUUUACACCACCUUUUCAAUUAUAGAAGCAGGGUCACAACAUUAGGCAAAUCAUACCACGUCCAAUGUAUCAGGUUGUUUUAAACCUUUUAUGCAUAUGUAAUGCAUCAGUAUGUUCCUUGCCACAUUCGAUGUUGCACAAUGUUGAUAGAUUUUCUAGAAUGGUACACCCUAUAAACUCCUAAUGCAUUAAUGCUAACACACCUCUAAAUGAUUCAAAUAUCAACAAUUGGCCCACAGGUUUCAUAAGACUCCUCUGAAAAAUUCACUUAUUUCCAACAUUCACGCAAGAUCCUAUAAUAUACAGGGGCACACAAAUAGUAUAUGCAUACCAUCCACUAUCUGGAUUCUAAAAAUAUAUUAUUAUACAUGGGCACCAAUGUACAUACAUUAAUAUAUAUAUAUAUACAUACAUACAUACACAAACCCUUUCUAUAUCACAGCUACCACAUAGCUACCAAUAUACACACAUACUAUCUACUAACUGGAUUCUCAAAAUGUAGUAUUACACAUUAACUAACCUCCACAAGCUUUUGUUCACUGCUUGAAUGAAGGUAGUUAUUAACUCUCUCCUUCUCCCUUUUCAAGCAUUCCUCUGCCUGUAUAAUUCCACAAGAGGUGUUAGACAAAAACUGAAAAUCCACUCUGUUUGAACACAUGAAAACUUGCCUUCAACAUGUACUCCGGACAAGAAUCUGUCAAAAUCCAAUUUGCUGCUUUACGAGAAUAGUAUUCACCACUAUCUAGUAGAAAGUGUGCUUCAAAGUCCUCUUCAUAAGACUCCAUUUGACCCAUUCCAAUUUCAACAAAUAUAUCUACCACAUUCUUCAAUAGUGCUCUAUCAAUCUGCUCUCCCUCACGUUCUUUAUCAAUCUGAUUGGUCAUACAACAUUCAUCAUGGCCAGGAUACACAUACAUAAACAUAGACUUGAUCAUGAAGCAAUAAACUUACAAGACCAAUAACAGCAAUUCUGGCAUUAGCAUUGACCUCCCGAUAAACCUGAGGUUGCAUAUUAAAGACAUUUGAGAUUACUGAAUCCCCUUUCGAAAAACAACAAAGCAUAUAAGGGUGAGGAGGUAUUUUUGCAUAAAGUAUGUAUAAACAUAUAAAUGAUCCAAUAACUAACCAAAUCACGAAAGCAGGUUAGUCCAACUUCCUUGAGUGCAGGAAGUGACCUUCUUGCAAUGAAGUAACGAUCAAGGUAAUGAAAGAAGCGUGAUAGCCACCUAACCAUCAGUUUAUGGUUUGCCCAUCUUUUAACAAGCUCCCGCAGCAUAAACUCAUCAUGCUUCUCUCUAAGAGCAGGCAGCACCUAAUAGAUGAACAACCAAAUAAGACUACGAAGUUCAGAAAAUAAUGAAAGAAUGUCGCUUUAGUUAAUGAUCAGGAGAAAGAAACCAUUAGCAAACAUCUCAGGAUGUUCCUCGAUCCUCACCGUUGAAGUAAUGUAUUCCUCAAAUGCCUCCCGAUAUUUGUCAUAUAGCUGCUGAGAGUAAUCAUUGGGGGGCUUCUGAGUACACAUGUUAUAGAUGGUUCUGUACUUAAAGUUAAGGAAAGGUUCACCUCGGAGAACGCACCAAUAAGGAGCAAAUAAAAGAAACACAAAGUGUUUAAAUAAUAUAUACAAAACAACCAAAGGAUACGUGUAAGCAUCAUAUAUUCUUCUGAGUUGAACUGAGGCUCCGGUAACCCCUCUAGGAUCUUCUUCAGCUUCGUGAUCCCCUUCUGCAUAUAGUCCCAUCCUUGAUCCAACUCAAUAACUUUGCGCUCCAUUUGUUUGAAACAAAAGUUUCGCUACCGUCCCACUACAAUUCUAUCAACAUAGAAAGAAAAAAAAAACCCCAACAAAAGGUUAACCAUAUAGCCCACUUGUACAUUCUCGAGUACACAUACUGUUUAUGUGCAAGUUCAUUUGUGUUAAAAUUUGGAAAUGAUUACAGAGUAACCCCCAAUAGUCAUGCCAAAUGAUUGGCAAAUAUAUAACAACCAUAUAUUCCAUAACAUCAACCGAAAAAUGUAUGGCGCCAAUAAGUAAUGACAAACGACGAACAAACCAUGGUAAUCAAAGCAGUAUAGCAAUGCCAUUAAAGUCAUGGAGAACAACCCCAGAUUAAAUCAUGAACAAACAACCCUAAAUAGAUGAUGAUCAAGUGAUGACACGGGAAGCCCCUAGAUAGAUAAUAAACAAACAAAAAUUGGGAAUCAUUAUCCCACACAGAACAUAUAAACAAUGCCAACCAAAUAAACCCCUAAAAACAAACAGAUCGCUGGAAAAAAAAAAAAAAAAAAAAAAACCCAAAAAAGUAGAAACAAAACCCAUAAUCCUAUACCACAAACAAGUACAUAUUACACAGCGAAGAACAACAAGGAGACCGUAGAAUCGAAGCUGACGAAGAAAAAAAGGACUGCCGCUGCGUGCGGGAUUACAACAUUCGAAACAAUGGGAAGAAGUUGCGGAGGAAGAAAGAUUGUACCUUCCCAAAGAAUUCGAAACGACGGGAAACCCAAAUCGCAGAGAGAGAGAGUGCGUCGGACGGAGAGCGGAGAGAGCUAGGGAAAAUCCACAAAUCCAAUCCCUGGAAAUCGCGGAGAGGAAAAUAGUGGGAGGACGAGGACGAGAGAAAGAGGCUAAUCGGAAAUCAGGCUUUUCUUCCGUUUUAUAUAGAAAAAAUGCCAGGACGAAAAUAGUCAGCCAAAUUCUAAAAUAGGCUCUGCGGAAAAUAGUAGGAAUUUUUAAGCCUAUAUUUGUAAAUUAAGUGAUCCGUCAUACGUCAUUGAGACGAUAUAAGUACACUGCUUAAACCUUUUUUUUUGGCAAACGAUAUAUUUUGUUAGAUUAGUUACCGACGGUAUUCGAACUCACACUGUAAUGCAAAAACUCAACACAUUUCUACCGCUUGUCACAUUACUUAAUACUGAAGUAACAGUUCAAUUAUUUACAAUUACGUCAUAUAGUUUAUAACAUAUGAUUUAAAUAGAUGACAUUCUUAGCAUUACUCUAAUAAUAAUGUCUCCAUUAAUUUUUUUAUGAGUAUUUUUCAAACGGACCUUGAUUGUCUGUCCUCCUCAUCUCAUACCCUUCUUAUCCUCUUUUAUUUAUGUGGUCACGAUUAAACCACGUCAACAUUUUAUAUUGAUUUUUUUUAUAAAAAUAAUAAGAUAAAAAGUAAUGAGAAUAUAAAAUGUUGAUGUGACUUAACCGUGACUAUAAGAAAGGAUGAGAAUAGUAUGGAAUGAGGAUGGCAGACAAUUCAAAUCCUUUUCAAACUGCUCUUAAAAUAGUUAAAAGUCUUUUUUUGAAUGAUUAAAGUCAGUUUUCGUAUGACUUGUUGGAAAAUUUAUUAGUCUUGAAACGCAAGUAGGAACGAGUGGGGGAUUGUCUAUUAUUGCAUGUUAUUUAGAGUCUUCCUCUUCUCCUCUCUCAACACUAUUUAAAUUACUUUUUAGUUAUUUAAAAAAAAAAAUCCAACAAGUAUGAGUGCCUUUUAGAAAAAUCACUUGAAUUUUGAAUAAAAAAUUAGACAUGCUUUUGGUGUAAUCACUUCUUACAAAAACCAGCAUAAUGCUUCCCAACAAAAGCGAUUUCGAAGACUAUAGAAAAUAAUAUUUUGUUGUUUUCAUUAAAUUAAAAAUAAAAAAAAAACCAAUUAGCAAAAUCCUUUAACUACUAUGUUCUUGUUGAAUUGUUUAUAUAAAUAUUUAUUUUGUUGGAAGGUUUAUCUUGUUCUUUAAACCGGAGAGGCGUACUAGGAAUAGAUAAAAAAAUAAAUAUAUAAAAAAAAUAGAAAGAAUUGUCUUAUAUUGUUGGACUCCGUAAGCCCAAAGCCCGAACCUCAAUUCAUUAAGCCCAUAAAAAUAUGGGUCGUCCCAUUAACCUUAUUGUACGGAACAUAAAGCCCAAACAUUUUAUGGGCUCUGUGUGCUGCGGCUUAUGGACUUUAUGUACAUUUUAGGGUUUAGGAACCAAAAUUUUCGGAAAAUUUUAAGGUCGAAACAAUUUCGGAUUCGGAAUGGAAAUUUUCGAUUCGGAUUGGCGCUUCCAAUUCAAUUUGCACCCCUACUUGCAUGGUAUGUAUAUGAGAUAAAGAUUGAUUAUGGAAUAAACAUCCAUGUUAAGGAGAUGCCCUUAAUUUUUAGGUAUUUCAUACCGAAAUUCAUGUAGGAUUCACCUUUUUAUUCAUUCCCUUGUCCCUUGGUGUUAGUAAACAAAGGCUAUAACAAUUGAACGUGCUCUUUCCAAGCUGAAUGCACACUAGUAGCCUGCCACGUGAAUCAUUUUGACAGAUAGUUGUUAUUAGUUGGUAAGGUUACGCACUCACUUUGAGCCAACUAAUUGACCAUUGCAUGAGAAUCCGACCCAUAGGAAGAGAUACGACUAUUGAAUGUUUCAGUUACCUAAACGUGUUGGAUUCGGAUCACAAAAUUGAACACAAUUCAAUUACUAAACGUGUAAUCGAAUACUUGUUGACCCUAAAAACUAUCAAGCUUACAUGGGCGCGCAGGCCAAAUGAUUAAUAAGCUAACUACAUUAUUCGGUUGUAUGCGAGGUGUGCCAACUCGUUGGUCGAGGAGUAAAAUAUGUUGAUAUCGCGUGCGGCGUGCUGUUGACUUCUCGAUCUUGCUACUACAGCUGAAGAAGGAUCACGUCUUGGCCUUCGGGUUUUAGAGCCUGAAGACAAGGCUGUUAGUUCUGCGAAGUUCACAAAUCGUCCGGGUUCAGUCUCGGUAAUUAUAUUCGUGAGAGUAUAAGUACACCGAACUGGUAUCAGACUAUACGAACACAAAUACUUGAAAGAGAUAAAUGUCUUGAUGGUAAAUGUGGUUCGACCAUUGGAAUGCUGAACUCUAAAAUGUACUUGUCAAUAUCCAAUCAUAAAAUAAAACUCGGCGUUCAAUGUGCUGAGCCUAGUAACCUAUAACACCUCACUUCACCAAGAAAGCUGAUGAGAUGACAUCUACCAACAAGAACUGGAAAAUCCUUAUUGACCGAGAUUUGGAUAAAUAACCAGUCGAUCUCGAAGCAGUGUUGUCUAUCCAAACUUAAGGUGCUCCUCGGUUGGCUAAUUCUACUACUCAAGUGCUGUCUAUCCAAACUGAAUAUGUCGCCAGUUGCCUUCACAAUGAUGUUUAUCCAAACUGAAGAUGUGUUGGUGGGAAGAAAAGGGGAGAGGAAAAAAUCUCAGGGUUGUUGAGAAGCUUUGCGCAGGGCACUUUGUGUGUUGAUUUAAAGUGGGCAUGAAUGAUGCACUCCCUUCUCUAUUAAUAAUAACGAACCCCCCUUAUGGUCAAACUAGAGAUGCACUUGGAUUAGAACUCCUUAUCCCAAUCUGAUCAGGUUUCGGCCAAUCCUAACCCCUAUAUGACUUUGAACCAAGCUCAUUAACAAGUAAGAUUCAUUCCCUAAUUCUAAGCAUCUUUAGCUUUAAGACUCCUUGUUAAACUAGGGUUCGACUACCUCACCCUUAUCUUAAACCAAUCUUCAUUGCAACAGGAUUUGGCCAACCUUGACUGGACAACCCAUGACAAGAUUCUAGAAGAAUGUUAUUGGGCCAAGAAUGACUCUAAGCUCGGCCCAAAAAUAUUAUUUUGGGCCCAAACAAGACUUUAUGGUGAUCGGGUUAGUUCGAUUUGGUUGACGGUUUUCAAGUCCUUAUCCACCUUCGACACAACACAGGUUGGUUUAAUGUCCAAAAACCGACCAACUCCGUCCCUCAUGAAUUCGCCUAUGACCUGAAUCGAACAAUAAUUUUGGGCUGGUAUAUCGAUUUUGCGAUUAAAAUGUCCUACCCUACAUCCUUGUUAGAAAAAGAUGCUCAACUUGGUUGAGUCCUGUUUGGUGUCAAUUAAACAGUUAAACAUCGUAAAAUAUCCGGGCCAUACAUUCGCCCCCUAUAUUCUUUAUUUUUUAAUUGGCCCUUACUUUCGCCCUUCAUUGUUUUUUUUUUAUUUUUUGUUUUUUUUUAUAUUUUGAAUAGUAACCCUCACAUAUGUUGGUCCCAAAUGGACCAACGCUUAAAUAUAAGGAAAACUAAUUAAAAGUACUUGAAAACUUUGAGUUUUAACGAUAAGGACAAAAUAAAGGGUAAAGUGAAUAGUAUUAGGUUUGACUUUUUAGUGUAAAAAUAUGAUUUUUCGUUAAAGUGAACAGUAUCGAGAACUUUUCGUUAAAACUCCCUUAAAUGUAUAAUCAAAAUUCUGAUAAAUAAAUUACCAAAAUUAAAUAGACGGAUUCAUAGCAUUACUUUUUUAUAUAAUUUUUUUACAAAUAUUUUGUGAAGUUUAUUUCAUAAUGUGUUUUAACAAUUCGAGCUGUUUAUUUUUUAAAUAUUCCUUCUAAGAUUAUGUCUAUAAAAAAUCACUUAAUUUUGAAACUACAUGACGAUUGAAUUGAGAAUUUAGGAUUUCUUUGUAAAAUUGUAUUCCUCAAUUUUCUUCACUACAAAUAAAUAUUUUAAUAGUUUUAAAUUUGUCUAAUUUUUUGUAAAGAUAAUCUAUAAAUAAAAUUUUAAAAAAUAAACUAUUCAAAAUAUUAAAAUAUAUUACAAAGUGCGCUUUCACAAAUUAUGUAAAAAAUUGAUACGCGAAUCCAUCACGAAUUAAAUUAUUAAGAUAAAUAUAUAUGGCAAAAUUGUAACCGUUGCUUCUUCAUCUUCAUCCUAAAUGUAAUGCAUAAAAAACUCCAAAAACUCCACUAAUAUUCUUCCUAAUUUUCUUUCGGUCAGGAAAAAGUAAUGCAACGUUUUCAAUUUAGUCAACAUUUUUUGUUGGCACUACGAUCAAAGUAAGUACAGUGAUUGCAUAUUUUAAUGGGAACUGAAUAAAUCAAGAGGCACAGAACUGAAGACAAAAGGAUAGAAAGAUGGGUGGUGGUGAAAGCGAAGAGGGGAAGACGCUAGAGUUCACGCCGACAUGGGUGGUCGCGGCGGUGUGCACGGUGAUCGUCCCCCUUUCUCUUGCCGCCGAGCGCUUCCUCCACUACGGCGACAAGUACCUGAAGAGGAAGAACCAGACAUCGCUCUACGAAGCGUUGCAGAAAAUCAAGGAGGAGCUUAUGCUUAUGGGGUUCAUCUCUCUGCUCCUCACCGUCUUCCAGAACCUCAUCUCCAAGUUCUGCGCCUCGGAGGACGUGAUGGCGCAUCUCUUGCCGUGCAAACUCCCCGGCAAGGCUGAGGGGGCAGAACCCACCUCCCAUUUGCGCGGAAUGCGGCGGCUCUUCGCGGAGGAGGGGUCGUCGCAGAUCGGGUACUGCGCCAAAAAACACAAGGUGCCAUUGCUGUCGCUCGAAGCUCUGCACCAUCUGCACAUCUUCAUCUUCGUCCUCGCCAUCGUCCACGUCCGCUUCUGCAUUACCCUGCCACGUGAAUCAUUCUGAUGGAUAGUUGUUAGUUGGUAAGGUUAUGCACUCGCUUCAAUUACUAAACGUCUAAUUGAAGACUUUAUGGUGAUCGGGUUAGUUCGGUUUGGUUGACGGUUUUCAAGUCCUUAUCCACCUUCGACACAACGCAGGUUGGUUCAGCGUCCAAAAACCGACCAACUCCCUCCCUAGCGGAUUCACCUCAACCUGAAUCGAACAGUAAUUUUGGUUUGGUAUAUCGAUUUUGCGAUUAAAAUGUCCUACCCUACAUCCUUGUUGGAAAAAGACGCUCAACUGGCAACGGUUGAGUUCCAUUUGGUGUCAAUUAAACGGUUAAACAUCGUAAUAAGUACUGGUUUGGUACUGAUGUUUAUAAAAAAUGGAUAUACUUUAAACACUUAAAAAUAAUUUAUUUUCACAGUUUUAAGUGAAAAAAAAUUGAAAACAUAAAGCAACAAAAUUAAACUUAUUUUCAUACACAAUAUUAAUUUUUUUUCAAAACACAGUAAUACCAAAUCAUUCCUAAAUCCGGCGCAUACCUUCUCCCCGCAUUUUUUUUAUUUUUUAAUUGGCCCUUACUUUCGCCCCCACAAUUUUGUUUAAUUUUUAAUUUUAUUUUUAUAUUUUGAAUAGUAACCCCCACGUAUGUUGGUCCCAAAGGGCUGACAGUGAUAAGCUAUGAGUUGUCCUUUGGACCGACGCUUAAAUAUAUAAUUAAAAUUCUGAUAAAUAAAUAAUCAAAAUUAAACCGACGGAUUUGUAGCAUUAUUUUUUUAUAUAACUUUUUUACAAAUAUUUUGUGAAUUCUAUUUCAUAAUGCAUUUUAACAAUUCGAGCGGUUUAUUUUUUAAAUCUUUUGUCUACCAAAAAUUAUCUAAUUCUGAAAUUAUAUGACAAUUGAAUUAAGAAUUUAUGAUUUCUUUGUAAAAUAGUAUUCCUCAAUUUUUUUUACUAUAUAUGAAUAUUUUAAUAAUUUUAAAUUUAUCUAAUUUUUUGUAGGAAUAAUUUAUAUAUAAAAUUUUAAAAAAUGAACUAUUCGAAUUAUUAAAAUAUAUUACGAAGUACGCUCUUACAAAUUAUGUAAAAAAUUGGUACAAGGAUCCAUCAAGAAUUAAAUUAUUAAGAUAAAUAUAUAUGGCAAAAUUGUAACCGUUGCUUCUUAAUCUUCAUCCUAAUACAAAACUCCAAAAAAUCAACAAAUUUUCUUCCUAAUUUUCUUUCGGUCAGAAAAAAGUAGGGCAACUUUUUCAAUUUAGUCAACAAUUUUUGUUGGCACUACGAUUAAAGUAAGUACAGUGAUUGCAUAUUUUAAUGGGAACUGAAAAAAUCAAGAGGCACAGAACUGAAGACAAAUAGAUAGAAAGAUGAGUGGUGGUGAAAGCGAAGAGGGGCGGACGCUAGAGUUGACGCCGACAUGGGUGGUCGCGGCGGUGUGCACGGUGAUCGUCGCCCUUUCUCUUGCCGCCGAGCGCUUCCUCCACUACGGCGGCAAGUACCUGAAGAAGAAGAACCAGACAUCGCUCUACGAAGCGUUGCAGAAAAUCAAGGAGGAGCUUAUGCUUCUGGGGUUCAUCUCUCUGCUCCUCACCGUCUUCCAGAACCCCAUCUCCAAGUUCUGCGUCUCGGAGGACGUGAUGGCGCAUCUCUUGCCGUGCAAACUCCCCGCCGAGGCUGAGGAGGCAGAACCCACCUCCCAUUUGGGCGGAAUGCGGCGGCUCUUCGCGGAGGAGGGGUCGUUGCAGAUCGGGUACUGCGCCAAAAAACACAAGGUGCCGUUGCUGUCGCUCGAAGCUCUGCACCAUCUGCACAUCUUCAUCUUCGUCCUCGCCAUCGUCCACGUCACCUUCUGCGUUUUGACUGUGGUUUUCGGAGGGAUUCAGAUUCGCCGAUGGAAAGUGUGGGAGGAUGCGAUCGCGAAGGAGAAUUACGACGCGGAGCAACUUCUCAAGAAGAAAAAAGUUAAAAAAGUUACCCAUGUCCACCAGCACGCGUUUAUCCGUGACCAUUUUCUGGGCAUGGGUAAAAAUUCGGUCUUUCUCGGUUGGUUUCAUUCGUUCAUCAAGCAGUUUUACGCAUCCGUGACUAAAUCCGAUUACAUCACGCUUCGGCUCGGAUUCAUCAACACGCAUUGCAGGGGAAACCCCAAAUUCAAUUUCCACAAGUACAUGAUGCGGUCUUUGGAGGACGAUUUCAAGAAAGUUGUUGGCAUCAGUUGGUAUCUGUGGAUCUUUGUGGUGAUCUUCCUGCUGAUGAACAUCAACGGCUGGCACACUUACUUCUGGAUCGCUUUCGUCCCCUUCUUGCUUCUGCUCGCCGUGGGGACGAAGCUCGAGCACAUCAUCACCCAAUUGGCACACGAAGUUGCAGAGAAACAUAUAGCAGUCGAAGGGGACCUCGUUGUGCAGCCGUCAGACGAUCAUUUCUGGUUCGGAAAACCCAGACUAGUUCUGUUCUUGAUCCAUUUUAUACUGUUCCAGAACGCUUUCGAAAUCGCCUUCUUUUUCUGGAUUUGGCUUCAGUACGGGUUCGAUUCCUGCAUCAUGGGGCAAGUGAAGUACAUUGUGCCGAGGCUGAUCAUCGGGGUGUUCAUACAGGUGCUCUGCAGCUACAGCACGCUGCCGCUUUACGCCAUUGUUACGCAGAUGGGGACUCAUUUCAAGAAGGCGAUUUUCGACGACCAUGUGCAGGUGGGGCUUGUGGGUUGGGCGCAGAAGGUGAAGAAGAAGAAGGCAAUGCAGGCUGCGAAUGCCAACGAUGCUUCUGAUUCUGGACAGGGAAGUUCCCAUGAGGGUUCUGCAGCUGGUUCUGUGGGAAUUCAGAUGGCCAAGUUUAUGAACAAGGCAACUAAGAAGGAGGAGAGAGUAACUGAAGAUAAUUAAAUUAAGUUAUAUAUUUUUCUUUAUUUUUUUUAGAAUUAAUUGAAGUUAUAGCAAACAGAAGUUUGGAUCUUGGAUGUUUAGCUUGUCUUGUUUCUUGCUUGAGUUUCUAAUUUAAGGUUGUGUGUGGACUGGAUUGCAAUAUUAUAACACGCCUAUUUUAUCGCCUACGCUUCUUAUUAAUUUCUAUCAUUUGAUUUUUUUCAAUUUAUAUGAUAUGAUGGAUAAAAAUUGAGAAUGGUGUAUGGAAUACACUGCCCUGUUAUAUAUGCAAGUAGGUUUUGGUUAUUUUUGUCAAUGUCUAGCCAAAUGCAUUUCUUGCUCUAAAAUCCAAAAACUUGGGGGAAAGGGGUUGGCUACCUAACUUACUACCCUCUUUCAAAUUAAUAAAUUAUUGGAAAUGAUAUCCGCGUGUUCAUUUGUAUUUGUGUUUUUUUUAAUUAUUUUAUGAUCCAUUCAAUUCAAAUAUCGUAAAUAAAUACGUCUGUUACGUGUAAGAGGAAAAAAAAGAGUUUGAAAAUCACUUAUUCCAAUUAUAAUAAGGACUUGUUUCAAGGUUAUUUAAAAUAACUUAAAACACUUCUCUCACUUUAAGUGCUUCAUGCAUAAAGUACAUAUAUGAUACUUAUUUCUAAAAACACUUAAAGUGCUUUUGAGAUCUGAAAUCAAUUUCAUCAAAAACAAUUUUAAUCAUUUCAAUAGCAUUUUCAAAAGAGACAUAAGAAAAUAUAAAUUCAUAAUAUAUAGAGGUUUACAAUUCUUGAAAACGUAUAGCAGUACAAGUAUGCAAUCCUCUAAAUAAAAUAAAAGAUAUCUUAUAUAUAAGGAGUCAAACAGUACCAAUUAUAAUAUUCUUGCAAAAUUAACUAUCUUAACAUAGUUCAUCAGAGUUCCACUUAGAAAGUCGAUGAAACCGAAACAACAUAGGGCUCUUAACUCAAAUCCUUUGUCAUAAUUUAUUUGUCAAAUAAAAACAUAACACAUAUGACCAUGACAGUUGUUGAUAUCUUGGUAAUUAUUUAAAAAUGCGACUCCAAGCUAACAAGACUUCUCGCUUUAUAAGAUCAGAGAAAACGUCUAUCGUAUGCAUCUUUACCCUUACUUUGCAAAGAUGUUAUUUCCACGACUCGAACAUGUGACAUUUUUAUCACAAAUGAGCUACUUUUCCGGUGCUCAAAUGUUCACCUUCCAUAUAAUAGUUAUUUAAUUACAUAUAAAUUAUAAUUCACCAAUAGUCUAUCAUACAUGUUUUCAAAUUUCAAGAAUUUUGAUCCAUCCCUCAAAUUCCACAUCAUAUGUGACAUAGUUUAUAACAAGUACUCAAAGCCUAGGUGUGGCUCCAAGACCCCAAAAAUAUGAGAGUUCUAAUGGGGUCUUCUGCAGAGCAGCUCCACCUCCUCCUCUCAACUGGUUUGGAAACUAAAAGAGCCCUACUAUUUCUUUGAUCUCCUUGGUUGGCCAUGACCACCGCGGCGGCCUGAUAAGCCUGCCGGCCGGAACAUCUCUCGGAAACCCCUCGUCGGUUCUUCACACAGAGAACUCUCCCCACAGAUGUUUUGGGGCUUCAUUCUUGAAGGUAGUCUCUGUGUUUGUUGUUUGGCCACAAGGGUAAGAUAUUAGAACUGCUUAUGGCCUUGCCUUGGUUUUUAUAGAAGAACAAAAUGGUAGGAACAUGCUGACGUGGCCACUAUUGUCAAUGGGUUAGGUAAUUAAAAAAAUGAUGAUUUUCUUUUUUGAGGUGAAAAUAAAAGAUGCUGUGAAUUAUUGAAGUGGUGACCCAACUAGACCAGUAUAAUUAUACAAUAUUGAUUCCUUCUGAAGACAUGAGGAAAUGUUUAAUAGUAAGAAAUUGUGCAGGUGGGGAGCAUGGGUUCAUAUCAUAGGAAUGAAAUCCACUCCGAAAUCUUUCUUUUUUGGAGUCUCCGGACCAAGAGAUUCAAACUGUUUGAGAGAGAGAGAGAGAGAGAGAGAGAGAGAGAGAGAGAGAGAGAGAGAGAUCUUAGCCGUUUGAUUUUUGAAUUUUUGUGAACUGGGUUAGUGAAAUAGGCUAAUGGAGGUCAUAUGGUUGAAAUUAAGUGAUCCAUGUCUCUUAGUUCAUAACUCUAAACACAGAAAUCCAGAACGAAUCUCAAUCUCAUAUCAUAUGACACAUGUUGAAUCCAAUGCCACGUUCUAGAGGAAUGUGUGCUCAUUGUGCUUUUGUCAUAUGCCAAUAUUGAUAGCUAGUUGGCUACUUAGUUGAUAGCUGGAAUCGAAUAAAGUUGGCUACUUACAUGUAAACAAUGAUUAAAGUAUUGAUAUAGGUGAAAAUACCGAUAUUGAUAUUGGUUGUUGUCUUUGACGGAAAUAUGGAAAUUGAUGAAUAUGUCAACUCAUUCAAAUGUAGUUGAAAUUAGAGAAAAAUUCUUUAAAAAGUUCAAAAGUUCGAAAUCUGCAACAGGUUGCAGCAAAAUUUAUGUAGUGAAUCGAUAAAUAUCAUCGAUAUUCAUUGAUCUUCUUAUAUCUUACUGAUAUAGGGUGAAGUUUGCAUUUCAUCUCCCCCUUUCUAUAGCGAUCCUUAAUUUUUCAAAUAUUUCGACGGAAAUAUAAAAAGAUUUGUGAAUAUUUUAAACACUAAAUGUAAGUAGUUUUCUUUAUAUUUGUAAGUUAUAGUCUGAUUGACUAUAAAUUACGAAAACAAUAUUUGCACACUUGUUUAAAUGUAAUUUGUCUAUAAAAAUAACUCUAUACGUGUAAGAAACCAAGUGAUUUCGGUGAAAGAAACUGAAAGAAUAUCGUAUAGAAUUCCAACUUAUGUUGUGCUAAAAAUUUGUAAGAUGCCCCUUUCACAUCCGAGUACGUAGAUUCCAAAGGUUUCAAAUCAAAAGGAGCAAAAUGUUGAUGGGAAGCUAUCAACCUGAAGAUGCUUUACUCACUGUGUUAAGAUAAUCCACUUAUGGCUGUAUGUUCACUUCCAACUCACAAGAUGAAAUGGUGGGAAGAGGAGGGGCAUUUCAUGACCUAGUUUAGUGAUAUUCGGUUCCUAUUUUGUUAGAAUCGUCUUGAGUUCAAUUCUUAUGUUUUUUCAUACAAGCGAUACUCGGGAGGGGAGUUAAACUUAGAAUCUCGAUUGCAGAAAUAAAUACGCUUUACUAUUUGAGUUACAUGCUCCUCAACAAGUUAUAUUGUGCAAAGAAUAUGCCCCUUUCAAAUCCGAAUACAUUUUUUAACAAACUUAGAUUCGAAAUGAGCAAACUUUGAUGGGGAGCUGUCAAAAUAAGAUACGUUAUUGCUCACUGUGAAUUGACUCUUUGGUUUUUCACUGUAGUUUAAUUUAGUGUGAUACUUAUCUAUAGAAAUUAAGUAACCUAAGUUUGAUUUUUUUUUUUCUAAAUGAAAAAUGAUUAGGCGAGAUUCACUCUUCAAUGAUAACUACGCGUGAGGCACCUACCCUCCUUGAAGGGGAGAUGACCAUUCGACACAAAAACCUAUAACACACUUGAUACACUAGUGGAGGGCCUUAGAAUGAGAUCCUCUCCGGAUCCUCUUUGUGAUGAUUUUUAGUAUCCUCAAAUCAUGUCCGUUUAUCGUACAUCGUACGGUUAAAAAUCAUUUUAAAUAUUUUUAUUUAAAAUUAAACAUAAACAGUACUUAACGAAAACUGACCGCACGAUGUAUGAUGAACGGACAUGAUUUGAGGAUUCCCAACAUCCUCACAAAGUGGAUCAUCAUUUGAGGGCCUUAUAGCACCGAUUGACCUUUGGUUGCCCAUCCACAUACCUCUCUUAUCUUGUCCAAUUGUUUUUGUCAUAUAGUGCCAUCAAGUCGAGCUUUAGUUUAGUGAUUCUUAGUUUUUUUACUUUGUGAGAAGUUUCGAGUUUAAUUUUUUGUUUUUUUAUACAAGUGAUAUUGUAGCAGGAGAGUCAAAUCCAUAUGAUAAUUAUUUAAUCACACAUAAAUUAUACUUCACCAAUAGUAUAUCAUACAUGUUUUCAAAUUUCAAUAAUUUUGAUCCACAAUCCAAAUUCUACAUCAUAUUUUACAUAGUUUAUAACAAGUAUUCAAAGUCUAGGUAUGGCUCCAAGACCCUAAGAAUAUGAGAGUUCUAAUGGGGUCUUCUGCAGGGUAGCUCCACCUUCUCUCAAUUGGUUUGGGAACCAAGAGACCCCUACCAUUAUUUUGAGCUCCAUGCCUAGACAUAACCACCACGGCGGCCUGAUAAGCCUGACGGAGCGUCUCCCGGAAACCCCUCGUCGGUUCUUCACACAGAGAACUCUCCCCACAGAUGUUUUGGGUCUUCAUUCUUGAAGGUGGUCUAUGUGUUUGUUGCUUGGCCAAGAGGGGUACGAUAUUAGAAUUGCUUAUGGCCCUGCCUUGGUUUUUAUAGAACAAAACGGUAGGAACAUGCUGACGUGGCCACUAUUGUCACGUCAUCACGUGGGUUACAUAAUUAAAAAAAAUCAUGAUUUUGGUUUGCCAAAAAAAAAAAAAAUCAUGAUUUUGUAUUUUGGGGUCCAAAUAAAAGGGAAAGAAAUCAUCUCUUCCACUAAGAUCAUCGAAUCAAGUUAUCCGGGUCUUUAAAAUUUCAUCUAACUAUCAAAAGUUAUUAUAUCUUUUAAGGAAUUAAAACAGGUAGACAGUUAGAUGAAAUUUUAAAGAUCAUAAUCACUUAAUCCGAUGAUCUUGGUGAAAGAGAUCCCGAAAUGAUCUCUAUGCUGUGAAUUAUUGAAGUGGUGACCCAACUAGACUAGAAUAAAUGUACGAUAUUCAUUAUUUUUGGAAGACGAGGAGAUGUUUAAUAGUAACAAAUUGUGCAGGUGGGGAGCAUAAGACACAUAUUGAUAGCUGGAAGGAACACUGGAUGGCUACUUACAUGCAAUUAGUUUUUUUUUUUUUUUUUUAAUAUGUAUUUGUAAGUUAUUGUUUUAUACAUAUGUUAUUGUGAUUAGUGGCAGAUGUAUAUUGGGAAUAAGGUGGUCCGGAACAACUCGAAUCUCGAAAAUAUGCAUUUGAAAGUCUUUUAAAGAAUCUUUAGAAUAUUUGGUAUGGAUUUUUUUUGUGUCUACCAAGUGUUUGAUCUAAUGUUUGUUAGCCAUAUCUCUGCAGGUUGCCUUGACUGUACUCGAUAAAUCAUCUCGAUAUCACUCAUCAUAUUACUUCAGCAUUAUUUCGUAUAUGUUGACAUGUGUGCAGCAUGGUUUGGCUGGCAACAACAAGCCCACCAAGUGUUUGACAAAAUGUCUUAGUGAAUAAAUUGAAAUUUUUUUGCUCGCUUCGCACUCUGUUUCAAGUUAAAAACUUGUACUUUAACACGACAACCACUCAAAAUCCGCCAUUAAUUGUGAUUGAUUAUAAAUUACGAAAACAAUAUAUUGAGCACUUGUUUAAAUGUAAUUUGUUUAUUGGAAUGACCCGAACACGUAAGAAACCAAGUGUUUUGGGUGAAAGAAACUGAAGUAAUAUCAUAUAUAAUUCCAACUUAUAUUGUGCUCAAAAUUGGUAAGAUGCCCCUAUCAACUCCGAAUAGGCUUUUUCCCAUACGUAGAUUCCAAAUGUUUCAAAUCAAAAGGAACAAGCAAAAUAGCAGAAAGCAUAAGUAGCUCUACACAUGCUUCUAAAAAAAAAGAUUUUUUUUUCUUAUUGAAGGCAAGUGAACAAUACCAAUGAUACUUUCAUAUUGACAAUUUUACCCUCAACUUUUUUUUUUGCUAAAAGUAUUUUUAUCACUAUAGUCUACCAAACACUUACCUGCUUUUAUUCACAUAAUUCUCGUGACACAGGAGAAGCAGUUUUUGAAAGAAAAAAAAAACACAGCAAUCCCAAACUAACCCUAGUUUACAUACAAUCUCUACUUUGUUAAAUGUCUCAAGUUCGAUUCUUAUGCUUUUCAUACAAGUGUAUUGGGGAGGGGAAUCAAAUUUAGAAUCUCAAGUUCAAAAAUAAAUACACUUAACAACUUAAGUUACAUGCUCCUUAACGAGUUAUAUUGCAUUAAGAAUGACUCCGAAUAUGUAAAAUAGCAAUUAUUUUUCUUCAAAAGAAAUUGAAGUGAUGUCAUAUAAAACUCCACUUCAUGUUGUGAAAAGAAUUUGAAAGAUAUGCCCCAUUCAAAUCCGAAUAGACUUUUUAACAAAGAUUCCAAAUGAGGAAAACGUUGAUGGUGAGCUGUCAAACUAAGAUGCUUUACUACUCAGUGUGCCAAGACAAUCCACUUUUGGCGGAUAUGCUCACAUCGAAACUCUCAAGAUGAAAUGGUGGAAAGAAAUUAGUGGGAAGAUUAUGGGCAUAAAUUGACACUUACAGCAUCUUAAAAUGUCAAAUUAUAAAAGUUAUAUUAUAAUUGAUAGCUGAUGUGUCAAUCUGAAAUCUUACGUCAAAUUUUAUAUUUCUCUAAUCAAAUUGUCAAAUAUUAUUAUUUUUAGUACUGUAGAGCUUUAAAUGGUUGUAUUUAUUAAAAAAAUGCUAAUCAUAAAGGUUUCAAAUCUGAUCAGCAGAUACACUUUGGUUGGAAGGUUUUAUUAUAUCAAAUAUACUAAGUGGCGUCUCCACCUAGGAUUUGACAUCUCUUUUGGAGAUGCUGUAAUUGUAAACUUGGAUGGAUCAAUGUUAAAAUGCAAUAUGCAGGAUUGAUAUGUGAUUCAAUCCUGGCUCUUCACAACAUAAAUCAAAACACAACAAUCUGAGAAAAUAAACGAAGACAAUAUUUGUACAAAAUCUCGCACGAGGAAAAAAAAACCCUCCGCACAGGAGAGAAAAACCUAAAGGCACACAUCCAAUUUCACUAAAAAACUUAAGGAAUUAUCCAAGACUCAAUUGAUACUUUCUUACACCACAAAAGAAACUUGAUCAAAUACUCUUGUCUUGUAGAACACGCCAUCUUCACCUUCUCUUGGAGAACACCGAUUCACACAGGUUGAUGAUCUUCCUCAUAGGCAAAGCUUACACUAAGUUCCAUGAUGAAUGAAUGAUGUGUUAUGCUCUCAUACUAUCACCUAGAUAAAUCUAAGAACCUAACAGUCUUUUGUCUCUCCACCUUGACCUUAUAAAACAAUCUCACGAUUUUGAUUAGAGUGCAAAGGGUGUAGUGUAAAACUCCCAUCACAACCCUUUAUAUACUAGGUUAACUCUUUUACCUAAUAAACAAGGAGAUUGACCUUAUUUAAACCUCUUCCUUAUUUAAGACUCUGCAGAUUUGUAUAGACUUCUAGAAUCCCACACCAAAUCAAUCUUUAAUAGGAAAAACAAAUCCUAUAUGAAUGCAAAUGAUUCUUACUAGAAAAGAGCUUUGCCAUGUAACAUUAGUCAAUCAUGCUCCUCACUUAACGCAAGCUCCAAUCUUUGCAUGUUACAAUUAAUCCUAAGACUAGGAAUAACCAACUUACAAACUCUUUACAUUUGCUAGGAAAUAGCCAACUUAAUUACACUUUUAGAUGCACUUAUAGCACCAAAUGACCUUGCUCGGCCUAUCCACACCUCUCGUAUCUUAUCCAGUUGUUUUUAUCAUAUUUAGUGCCAUCAAAUUGAGCUUAGUCUGGUAAUGUUUAAUUUUUUAUUUGUGAGAAGUUUCGAGUUCGAUUUUUAUUUUAUUUCAUUACCCAAGCGAUGUUGGAGUAGGAGAGUCAAAUUUAAAACCUCAAAGAUAAACGUAAAUGCUCUUUUACUAUUUGAGCUAAAGUUCUUGGUCAAGUUCAAUUCUUAUGGGCAACAGUUGUUGAAUAAAUAAAAAAAGCCGAUAUGGCUAUUGGGCUUACGGGCCGAAGCCAGUGGGCCUAGACAUGAUAGUGCACUCCUCUAGACCAAGCCAAACUCGGAAUAUUGCCCUCUUUCAAACGGGCUUUAGAAUUUUGUUUGGGUCAGAUGUAGUACAGUGGCUUUUUUAACUGGGUCGGGUCAGUAUCUUAUCCCAAUUUUGCUGGACUGAUCUGAUCCCUAUUUUACAAUUUUACCCUUUUCUGUUUUUCUUUUUAGGUUUACAAUUUUGCCCUUUUGGUUUCGGUUCAUAUUCAGUGUUUAAAAUAUUCAUGAAAUUGUCGAUAUUUCCUUCGAAUAUCCAAAAAAUGAAGGAUCGAAAUGGAAAAGGGGAUGAAAUGCAAACUUUAUCCUAUAUCGGUGAGAUAUAGGAAAAUCAAUUAAUAUUGACGGUAUUCUUCAUUCAGUACAUAAAUUUUGUUGAAACCCACUGCAUAUUUCGAACUUUUGAAUUUUACUGGGGAAAUUUUUCUCUAAUUUUGUCUAAGUCUGAAUUAGUUGAAUACACCCCUCAUUGCAAAUUUCCAUAAUGUCCAUUGAGGACAACCGAAAUUGAUAUCGAUAAUUUAUCGAUCUUCCAUAAAGUUGCAUAUCGAUAACUCCACCUAUAUCAAUUUUGUAAACACUAUUUGUAUUUCCACCACCAUAAAUAUUUUAAACACUGUCCAUAUUAGAAACAUGUACUUCCUUUUCUUUUUCCAGUUAUUUUUUGCAACAGUUAGUCGCUUGUAUUUGGUCUCAACCACCUCAAACUAACCUCACUCGAAUAAAGUAUGAUACCUUAUGCAGGGGUCCGGACAUAAGAAUCCUUCGACAAGGGCUGGCUUAGUCAAAUAGUGGUGGUGCUCUAGAUCUUUGCCCUUUAUGGUCGGUUGGCUAGGUCAAGAAUCAAAAUUCAUUAUCCGAUUGGGCAAAUUGUGGAAAACUACUUGCUAUACAAUUGUGACCUCGGGAGGCCAAGGGUCCCCAGCUUUUUAGAAAAUAUGCCAUCUAAUAUACAGAAAACCUGCACAUAUCCCACAAAAUAUAAAAGAUUGGGUGGCUCUAAUUAGCACUAGUGUUGCUCUCAACCUGUUAGAAUUUAUCUUCCAAUGAAUGCCUCAUCCUACUAUUUGUUAGUGAUGCUAUUAUUAUACCAUCAAGCUUUAGUGUCCACAUAAAAAUAAAACACAUGGUUUAAGCUAUAUCAAAGGCACUUAUGUAAAGAGUAAAAGCACCUGUUUAGCUGCUUGUUAAACAACAAACUGUUUACUGAAAAGUGUUUUCUACAAAAAACGCUAGUGAGUAAAAACAUUCUAUGGAGUAGUACUUCUAAACAAGCCCAUAUAAAUUUUCAUGUUUUUCUUGGUACAACAUAUAUAUAUUAGAUAUUUUUGGGAAGGAAAAAUCAAACACAUAACUUUUAAUGCAAAUAUGAAUGCUCUUAAGUCUGAACCAACUGAGUUAUACAUUCUAGCAAAUCAUUUUCAUGUUUGAUGUAUAAGAUAUGCGUAUAUACUUUGGUGUAACAUAUGAAUAAUAUCUUAUGAAAACAUAAUAUAUAGGAUUUAUUUGCAUAUUCUCUCUUUUAUAUAUCAUUCCUUCUCAUCUUUAUAAUGAAUAGUGCAGCAAUUCUCGUCCAUAUACGUUUCACUCUGAACACCAACACCUUGUUUUGUUUUUGGUGGUGGGGGACUUAAGGUUUUGAUGAAAAAACAGAAAGAUUCGACUAAAGGGGGCCGAAGAGAUCAUAUCAUUUGAUGAAAAGAAAAAACAGAAAGAUUCAUCUAAAGGCAGCCGAAAAGAUCAUAUCAUUCAAUCUUUACUUCCGAAGUGAACAAAAACUUUUAGUAAUGAUGCAUGCAACUUAUGAAUAGUAAUCAAUAUUAAAACAACGCCAACUAUUAUCUUCACGUCCGAUUGCCUGCGAUAAAGUUUCCCUGAAGCUCAAGGUUGAGAGUCGAACUACGUACACAGAAUGGCCUCAUAAAGUGAUCACUGAUCACAGAGACAUUGGGCAUAUAUUUUUAAGGUUCUCCUUUGAACCAAAUUAAGAAAGCGUUGAUAAGAGUUCUUGGGAGUCAACGGCCUCUUAUCCUCGACUAGCCUUUAAUCUUUCGAGUUCUUAAUAGCCCGAGACCACUUGAUACUACGAUCUAAUGGUAUUUCUUUUCCCUUGAAAGUGAGAGGUCUUAAAUUCGAUUCUCGCCAAAGACGAAUUUGAACCACAUUAUUGCUAGUCCAUUGUGAGGCUAAACCCACCCACUUCCUCUUAAUGUAGAUAAUAUCGUUUGUUAAAUAGCCCAAGACUUACAGAUCACUAUGGCCAGACUUUCAUUUAUGUUCGUUCAAAAGGUCCCACAAUCAAGCAGGCGUACACGAAUACACUCGACAAUAAAAAUAUGACAAUAAUUUAGAAUAUGAGAGAAUUUCAAACCAGAAAUGCAUGUGCGGAAACUCAACAUCUUAUUCACUAAAAUAUUGGAUCACAUGCAGAAAUCAUUUCUCAUUAAACCUUGGUCAACUUAGGAUUAUUUUGGUUGAGCAAAUUACACCAUGAGUUGAGACGGAUAUCAAUUUAUUAUAUGCUGGAUACCCUCUAGAUUUGUUUAUUUGUUAGAUAUUUGGUCUUUGGUCCCCAUGCCAUGCAUGCUUAAAGCUUUUGCCCUGUUCACUACAAAAAGAAUAAAGAGAUAAAAAGCUUAAGACAACCACACAGGAACACGAUAGAUUACAAACCAAAGUGAGUGGGAGACUCUUUACCAUACUUCAAUAAAUAUGUAUAUCUACAUCCCUCACAUGCAUAAUAGAAAAAAAAAUCUGUACUGUCUACGUAAACACUUUAAUUUCUAACCAAAAGAUGGAGAUAUGCAUGUUGCUUUUUCUAAAGCAUUAUGUACCAAAUCAAAUUGUUGGAACCAAUUAAUUUGUUGUCAGAUUAACUAAUUAAAGAGACAUGGUCGAUAGCUACCAUGCAUUUUGAUUAAGAAUUAUAUCUUUGCGUUUUAUUUGUUUCCAUAUUUUAAACGACGAAUUAUAGUUACGGAAUCAACAAAGUGUUUAUAAUAUGUCAAAAUAUAUUGGUACAUGACGUUCCCCUUCAAAUAAAAUAUAACAAGUUGCCAGAACCCUAAUCCAGUCUUACCAUGAGUUUGAACUGAAAAGACGAAUGUCGUGCACUCAUAAUUUCUAAUUACAACUUGAAAAAGCUUAUCAUUGCCAUAGAAACAAAGAUUUCAUAAAACAAAAAUCUACUUUACACAUCAGGCUGAGUGAAAAGUAAGAUUUAGGUCCUACAAAUAACCAAACAUUAAUUAAGCUAUUGGCCUACUUACGCAAAACCAAAGUAAAUAAAGCUAAGCUUCAUAUUACAACCCCUUUUAUUUCCCCCUACUUUCACCCUUUGAACUAUAAGUACAUCAAAAUUAAUCCUGCCUUCCUCCCCCAAGUACACACCGUACAUACUAAGUAUAUAUAAGCUACUUCUACAUACACCACUCGUAAUUAUAAUCUUCACAUAACGUAGCACCCACUUCCAUAUUCUUUGUUAACGGACGUAUCUUCAUCACCAUCAUCAUCGAUAGAAUAGGACGGCAGAGGAAACGAGAACCUGCCUGGAUGAGAAUACGUAGCAGUAUGCAUGGGAUCAGGAGCGAAGUAUGAGCUACUUGUACUGGUAGGGUACGCCGUAUUGUAACUUAGCCCGUACGUUGGAGGUGGAUAGUACAUUGAUGUUGGGUACGGGCCGGGGUACGUAUGCUGAACUGGUGGGCCAAGAUUCAUGGAGGCCAUCGGCUGAGUCAUUUCUGGCCCACCGGCCAUGUACGGCUCAAUACUGCCCACAGGAGGCGGAGCAUUCUCGCCGAGGUUGGCACCACCGCCGGUGGGGGAAUUACCAUUUUGCGCUUUCUUCUUCUUCUUCUUCUUCUUUUUGGCCCCAGUACUUGCACUAUUUCCACCACCAGCACCAACAGCAGGACUAGUACCACUUUCUCCACCAGCUUCAUUACUCUCGCCACCCUCUGCGUCGGACUCACCGCCGUCGUCAGCAUCAUCACCGCCGUCGGUUUUAUCCGGUUGAUCAUGAUCACCAUCUUGUUCAUGGUUAUGAUCUUCAGGCUGCUUCUCAUUGUUAUUACUAUUAUUCUUUGAUUUCGACUUUUUCGCUUUCUUAACUUCUGGCCAAAGCUCAGCUUGCUUCCCUGACUUCAACAGCUUCUUCAGUAGGGUCUCCGCCUCCACGUUGCCCGUCACAGUCACCUUGUGCUGCUGCGAAUCAAUCUCCGUCGUGUAAACCCCUGAUCACGUCAAUUAAUCAAAACACGAACGCACACGAGUGAACACAUGUGUUGCAACUAGAUAAAAUAUCAGGACAUGGUUAAUAACCAUUUCGUUUUUAGUUUUUGUGACAGAAACAGAAAAAACGCAUGGCAAGAAGGACGAGUGAGAAAUGAAGGAGAAUGUAUAAACGUACCUUCAAUGUUUUGAAGGACUUUCUUGACCUUCUUCUGGCAUCCUCCACAGUGGAUUGAGACUUUCAAAACCCAUGUCUGGAGAACGGAGGAGAUGAUCAACUUAUAAUUUGUGAAGAAAAAAACUUGAAAAUAAUGAGAAAAAGGACAAAAAUAUUGUACUAAUUACCUGGUAUUUUAAGGUUCCAGGAGCUUCUUCAGCUGGUUUGGUUGCCAUUGAUGAGCGAGAGAGAGAGAGAGACUGAUGAAGUGGGAAUAAGGAAAGUGGGGAGCUUUGAGUGAAUGUGUGAUGAGGUUUAAAGAGUGGGAAGAAAGCAUCUGGUUUGGUCAUGGUGUGGAUGCCACGUCAGCUUCCACACCCCAAUACACCACUGCAGAUCUAACACGUCAUCAAACUCACGUGACCCUCCAUGAAGACCCCACUACACCUCAACCAACUGAGUUCAACUUCACAAACUCACAAGCUCACUGAUUAAAUUUCAUAUUUUUAUCUGAAGGUUAUGAAGGUCACGCAGAAGGCUUAAUUGCAAAACAAUCACGCACUAAUAUGCGUUUUUUAACGAUAUGAUUAUAAAUCGGGAAAUGAGAAUAUCAUUGUAUAGGAAUGUUAACUUCAACAGUACGGCUCAGUGACAUCCACUGACCCACAACAUACAGUUCCAGAUAUCAAUCUAAUCUCUGCCCGUGAGGAGAGAUGAGAACCUUUUGAUGGAUGAUCAGCUUUGUACUGCAUCUUUUGCUAUUAUAAAUAGAAUCGGACGGUCUUUAUUCUUUUUCAAGGAUUUAAUCAUCGAUUUUUACGAGUACAGAUCUUCUUCGGAUCUAAAAAAAUAGAGCUUAAUGAUCAAAUGAUCCGGGCCAAGGGACCAUUCUUUGUAGCUAUUGGAUCAAAUUUCAACAGUCCGAAUCAUUUGAUAUUUAGGCUCCAUUUUUUUAGAUCCAGAGACGUUCUGUACUCGACUUUUAUAGCCACUAAUAUAAUUGACUCAGAUUGGCCCUAAGCUAACCUACCCUCAAAGGAUGCUGCUCAGAACUUCAUAGGCCUAGAAGUUCCUUGCAAGUAAUCCAGGAAGAAGAGCUAUGAAUGAAGAUUCUUGUAACAAAUGGACAAGAAGAUUCUAGUAAGCAAAGUUACGAAUGUUCGUCACUGUUUUUGGGCUAAUCUACACUGAGCUAUACGAUACGAAGGAACAUCCAUCUCGUAACCAGCUGUACACAUUCAUGUCAUAUAAUUAUUUUGAUCCAGCAAGUGUUAGAAUCGACUGGACUUAAAGCUGCCCUCUACAGUUUUUUGAUGCGGAAAAAGCUGCGUUGUUCACAGUGAACAUGUCCUCCUGCAAUAUUGCAUGAACAACACUUGUACAAAGUAUGGUGGUGUGUAAAGUAAAAGUAAUUGAGUUAGAAAAGACUAUGGCAAUUGGCAACUUCCUUUGCUGGGCCAUUGCCAUUGUGCUUUCAAUGAACUUUUUGAUGGGGGGUUUUGGAUUUAUCUUCAGGAAAACAACUUGUCUGUAACUGGUUCACUAUUAUUGUACUUCGUGACAUUCCGUUUCAGUAAUACAAUAUCAUCUAAAAGAUACUUACCCAAAAAGACAUUAUAUUUUUGAAUCGGGGUGCCAGAUAACAAUGAAUCCGUUCGAUAAAAGUCCUUGUAUUCUCAUGCAAGCAAUCAAUUUAAAGAUGCAGAAAAAUUAAAAUUAAAAAAAAAAAAACUCCAGACAAAGAAAAUGAUUUUCACGAGUAGAAUUUUCAAAUGCGUAGUACAUAUUACACAAUUACAGUAAAUAAAAUGCCUUCCUUUCGUCUAAUUCUAAAGCAGGCCAAGCAGCUUUUAAUAUGGAAAAGACUACAAACAGCUAGUAGUUAACAAUUAUUGUGAUUGCCAGCUGUAUACGUUGUCUCUGUAAAUCAAAAGGCAAAAGCGAUACAUACGGAGCAUGAUUUUGAAGAAUCGUAAUUAAGUCACGUCAACAUUUUGUGUUAAUAGAGAUAAAAGGAAAAUGAAAGAAAAGGAGAGGAGAAGUGAGAAGAUUUGAAGAUGGGAGAAUCCUGCUCAUAUACACACACAAAAGAUAACAAUAAAAACAUUCUAAAAAAAGAUCAAAUGGUUAUCACCAUACAGCGGAAGCACUUUUGAUGAGAGAUAUUUUAGUAGAGAUAUCAUAUAUAAUCCGGCUAUGCACAAAAGUUCAUCCUUUAUUAAAGAAUGUAAUAAUGUCAUUAGUUGUGUGUUUAUAACAUCAUUUUAAUCGCCAACAAAAAGUAGGAACAUAUUAUUAAUAAAUUUUCAAUAAUAUUGACACAAUAUCAAUUGAAAGAACUAACAUUCUACACAAGGGCGGAUGUAAUUGGGACCAAGGUGGUCUUAGAACCAACCGGAAGCCAAAAAACACGCAUGUGAAGGUCCUUCAGGAACCCUUCGAAUGUUUGCUAGACAUAUCUCAGUAAGUUGUGUCUAUAACACUCGACAAAAACUCUCAAUAGCACUCAUCAUAUUGUCUAUAUCUGUUGACAUGCAACAUGGUUCAGCUAACAACAAGAAACCUUCCAAGUGUUUGACGAAAUUUCUUGAAUAAACAUUUUUUUUUUGCGCCACUUCACACUCUGUUUCUAUCUAAAAAUCUUAAAUGUUUAACACUGAACACGAUAUCGACACAAAAAAAUCCAUCUCAUCAUAGCAGACAAUACGUAAAGGGGUUUCACUUAUCUGCACUUUAUGUGAACCAAUGGAUUAGCCAGGUCAUGAGCACUAGAGUGAUUUGUGACACAACUUGGCACUCCAAAUCAUUCUUGCUUUAUCAAAUAAUACUCAUCCAAUCUCAAAAAAGAAAUCAAUUAACUUAAUCACUACAACAUCCUAAUUAAUGCAGUCCAUAUUAUCACAUAAAAUGACUCGACUUCCAUUUCGACAUGACACCCUCGACAUUUCAAUCGUCACCCUCUCUUCCUAACUAUCUCCUGACGUCCUCCUAUCUCUAUGUCGUGUCAGGAGAGAGAUAGGUAUAGAGGGUCUGAAACUGGGGAUGGAAACGUACUGAGUUAUUAAAAAGAAAUAUAACCUACAAAAACUCAAAAAAUUGAACCUCGAGUGCAAUAGUCUUAGGUAAAUGCAUUGAAUCAUUCUUCAUUGUUGCUACAAAAUAAAAGGUGAAGCUUCUUGUUCUAUGAAUGACAGAUCAAGUUCUCAACAAGUACAAUUCCAAGGUUGCUAUAAACUAUGAGUUUUAUAAAACUUUCUUGAAUAUAAGAACACCUACGACAAUGGAGACAAAAACCGACGACGCACCUUGUCUCGAAAGCCCAAAUUCGGUCCAUGUCAAGGGCUUUGUGACUUCAAGUAAGACGUUGCGGAACUGUGCUCUUAAAUCUUCUAGUGAUCCAGUGUUAUCAACCACUAUGUCUGCCCUGGUCCGUUUUAUAUCGAGUGACAUCUGAGCAUUUAUCCUGUUUCCAGCAUCCUCCUCACUUGUUCUGUCCCUCGACAUGAGUCUCCGGAGCUGCGUUUCAGGAUCAACCCAUACAACAACAAUAGGCUUUGUCCAUUUGUCCAUCUUGGCCUCGAACAACAGAGGAGCAUCAAGAACAAUAACCUUACACCCCUUCAUCCAUAGCUUCAAAAUUUCCCAAAAGAUUCCAGACGAUAUAUAAGGAGCUAGCAGUCUACAAGAAGAUAAAAACUAGAGAUUAUAGCAGAUAUGAUAGGUAACUUGUGCGGUAAACUACACUAAACUAAACCUCUCAUCAAGUGGGACGAAAACAAUUUGAAUUCGACAAAAUGUAACUGGACAAAACUAGAGAUUAUACCCGAUUCCUUUUAGUAAAAGGAAUCGGCAUUAUUUCAGCAGUUUUCAAGAAAUCACAUGUGAAUUUUGACCUUGAUGCGUCAAUACUCGAGGGAGUACUAUGGAGCCUAUAUGGUAUAAAUGCACAACCAUAAGGGAAGUUACUUUCCUUGGCCUCUCUAGGUUUUACAUACAAUGCAACACUAUCUUUCCAACAAGAAGCCAGGAAAUCCAACGGUGAAUAAAUUAAGAAACGAGUUUGAUUUACUCAACUGCACUAGGGAUAAUGUAGAAUCAUAUAGCAAAAAGUUUAACAGAGCGGUACUCAAUAAAAUCGCAAACGAACACUAGAGCUACUUGCAAAGAGGUAGUACCUACCGGUUAAGAAGUUGGCGCUUUUCGGGGUUAGAGAACACAAUUUGUCCCAGUUUAGGCCUAUCAACUUCUCCAUCAGGUUGCAAAAUGUCCUCUCCAAAUGCCGAAACAACCUUUUUCCAGCCACCAGUGCCCUUCUUCAACACAUCCUGAAACCAAAAAAUUACUCACUCGGCGAAACAGCCGAAAACAACCCAUUGACAUCAAAUUCUUCCAUGACAUUGUCAAAAGCAUAAAGUUCAGGGUCUGAUCAUCACUCACUCGAGCAACAAGAUCGGCAUCAACGACUGGAAUGCCAUGUUCCUUGAAGAGAUUCGAGACGGUACUCUUCCCGGAAGCAAUUCCACCGGUCAACCCCACUAUCCUCAUUCUUUCUGCUCUUUCUGUUAGCAAUUGAUCCUACUAUACUACAACAUUUUAAGCAAAAUUAAUUACAAAAUUAAAGUAAAUUAGCAAACUUUAAGCAUAAUACUCGAUAUUUUAAUGGAUUGGAAUUUUGGGUUCCUAGAAAUGAAGAGCCUUUGCUCUUCCCUGUAAUUAUUUCAUCGUUUCGAUUGCUUUUUUCUUAGUUCUCACUGUAAAAGACAAGAACUUUUCUACCUUGAAAAAGCGCUUGAAACAGGCGGUGGUAUGAGACUUUCGGACUUCGAUCCGCCCAACUGGGUGGCGGGUGGCCUGCCCUUUGAAGAUCGGACGACAAGGAAGAGAAACAAGUCGGCGGCGAACCGGACGGUGGCCGGAUGGCGCCGGAAACUUGAAGAGCAGAGGCGCGGUGCUGUUCGCGCAAGGAGAUAUUGAGGGGGCGAGUACAGGUCUGACACGCGGUACCUGCCAAUUGCUGCUGCUAUGCAUGUAGCGGAAAGCCUAAGAAAAAGAGCAGAAACACAUUUUAUUACUCUGUUGUUUGAUUCUCUUAACAAAGAAGCGCAUCUGGUGUAGUGGUAUCAUAGUACCCUCCCACGGUACUGACCAGGGUUCGAUUCCCUGGAUGCGCACUUUUUUAUUUUUUAUUUAUUUUUGUAUUUGUUUUUAUGUGACCAUUCAUUUGAAAUUUGAUACUUCAAAACCAAUACAUUCUUAGAAAAGCACUUGAAAGCUUUUUAAGCACAUAAGGAACGGUUUUGCUCAUUAGCGCUAUAUGCUAGUCGAAAUUGAUACUUGAAACUCAAUAAAUUCUUAGAAAAGCACUUAAAAGCAUCACAUAUUUGGAAGACUGUAUUGUUUAAUUUUUCAGCCAAAUAAUAUGAGUAUCGCAAAACUAUAUUAUAUGUUUCUCAACCUGAUCAAAUAGCGGGGUUACUUUAGAAGCAAGUAAAAGCUUAAGGCGAGCUCAUGUCACCAUAAAACGACGUAAUAAUUUUAGCUAUUUUAGACACACACGGCCUUGGAAGUUCUUCCGUUCCAUCAAGUACAAAAUUUCGACAUAUUUCUAAUGCGUCUUCAGUAAAAGUGUGCUUAUGAUAUGAGCGUUUUAGAAAGCUCAGGAAAAGGAAAGGGUUUUAGCCUUAAACCCUAAGGACUGUAGUCUUGAGAAUUUACCGAAUUGCCGUUGUCUUCCCUCUCCGUUCUCAGAUGAGAUGACGACGGGGGUUUGAAUACAUGACUUUAUAAGGAGGAGCGAAUGGGAAUUAGAUGUGAUCUUGGGAGCUUCUUUGAUCGACAUGUAUGGAAAAUGUGGUAGGAUUGAAGAGGAAUUGGCGGUUUUCAAUACCAUGAAAGAGUAGAACACUUUUACUUGGAAUGCACUCAUUAAACGGCUAGCUCUUGCCAAAUAUGGUAAGGAGACAAUCCGGUGGUUUGAGAGGAUGGAACAAGAAGGUAUCAGAAUAGACGAAGUGACUUUGGUUGCAGUUCUAAGUGCUUGCAGUCACACGGGGUUGGCAGACAUCGGUAGGCAGAUUUUUCGUUCCUUGAGUGAUGGAAAGUAUGGAUUGUUUCCCGGGGUCAAGCACUAUACUUGUAUGAUUGACCUCUUAGCACGUUCGGGGUGUCUUGAAGAUGCUUUGAAAUGCUUGAAAGAAAUGCCUUUUGUUGAGCCAACUAUAACUAUUUGGGGGUCGUUGUUGGGCGGUGCUAAAAGUCAAGGGAAUUUGGAAUUGAGCGAGUUUGCAGCUUGGAAGCUUGUUGAACUGGAUCCAGGGAAUAGUGGUUACUAUGUUUUGCUGUCGAGAAAGUGCGGGGGAUGAUGAAACAGAGGGAUCUGAAGAAAGACUUGGGGUGUAGUUCCGUGGAAUUCGAACCCUCGGACCAAGUUAAUCAGCUUUUAGCACAAUAAGUCGCAAUGUAUUUACAGUUCUUUCAAUAUAUAUAGGUUGUCUUAUUGAAUUGGGUUGUCUCCAAUUUACUGACUGCAUCAAGUUUAUUGGAUGCCGAAAGAUAGGCAUUGCUCUGAUUGCAGCCCGGUUAUAUUUUCGAAUCUCAGUUGGAGUCAGUUGAGAUCAAAUUACUGGUUUGGUGGAACACAAACUUAAAACACCAAAAACAGAUUGUAAAAGCAUAUGCAAAAGGCAUCAGCAGCAGUAGCGGAGUCUUGUCCUUCAAUUAUUUCGGGGAAACAGAAAAUCAGACGAACGUUUGAUAACUAACAUACAUGUUAUUAUUGUAGAUAUAUGACUCUGUUGAGUAAGCUGCAGCAGCAAGCUUUAGUACUUGUUUCACUUUUGCUGGGCAACGACUUUGUUCCAAGCUGGCCUUGCUGUGAUGUCCACCACCCAUGCGAGAACAUGGGGGCGGGAUUCGAACAGCUUCUUCGAUUGUGUUCCCAUCAAGUAAUGUAUGGUGGGGAGGUGGUGAAGAUCAGCCAAAGUGAAGCUUUCACCUGCCAAGUAUUUCGACUGAGCCAGACGAGUCUCAUAUACAUCAAGAACCACAGCCAACUUGGCUUCAUUUUCCUCCACAACUGCCGCGUCUGUGGUCAUUUUAAACAUAGGCUUUAUAGCUAGCUCAUAGGUCAGUUUUGUGGCCGCCGGGUCGAACUUUUGGGCCUCCACCUCCGACCACAAUGAUAUAAUUGCCAUCUUCUUUGAGUCUCGGAUCACUAGAGGGGUUCCCUUGUCAGCAUACUCGUGGGCAAUGUAUUGUGUAAUCGCCCUUGAUUCUGCAUGUCAAAAGGUGCAUAGCUGAUCUUAUAUGCACAAGCUCAUAAUUCAUAUAUGUUGUGUGUGAAUUUGAUGUCACGACUACAACAGGUAUUCCAAGCCAAUCAAGAACGGACAUGUAUUUUAACUCUUUUUCAUAUGAAUGUCCUUGAUGGGUUUGUGAUACCCCGCAUUCCAGAUACAGGUAAGUUUUUCUCAAUGCGAAUGAAUCAAAAACAAAUUUAUCUUAUAUAAACAUAUUCAUAUUUCAUAUAUGCUAUGUGUGAAUUUGAUGUGAAUGAACUGAUAUAUGUCCUACUGUGACAGUGAUUGAUUGAUUUUGGAUACCGUUACAAUGACAUCUCAUUCCAGUUACAGAUAAGUUUAUGACGCGUGAGCGAGCUAAACACAAACUUACCAAAGAGCUUAAGAUCUCCGUCUUCGAAAGCUGGAACUUGACCAAAUGGCUGCAUCAAUUGAAGCAAAGAAAUGUGAGAUUUACUGACCAUAAAAAAAUACUUGAUAGUUUUGUUCUUCAUGUUCUCAUUGUAAUCAUAUACUUACAUUGAGGGAUAUGAAGGGCUCCUUUUUGUGUUCACCAGCUCUCAUGUCGAUUGGAACAAGCUCGAAUUCGAUGUCUUUCUCGUAGAGAGUAGCAAAAACUCGCAUUGCAGCGGUCGAAAUAACGUUUCCGUGGACCUUGAUGGCAGCCAUGACUCUGAGGAAUUGAAGUAAGAAAUUUGAGCAACUGAGAAAGAGGUGUUGUGAUUUGGACCCUAAUAUGGCCUAGUAUUUAUAAGACAAUGACCAUUGCGGAUAAGGAUUAAGUGCUUCUGAAAAAAGUAGCAUUUAGCUAAAGCUAAUACGUGGUUUGGGUGGAAGCUUUCAAUUAUUUUUUUUGGAUUCGCUCAAGGGGAUUUCGUAUGCACCCAUGUCACUCGGAAAGGGAUCUUCUCAAGAUUUUUUUUCUUUCUAAUCCAUCAAAUUAAAGGAUCUGUACGCUAAAAUUUAAUCUAACGAUUACAAAUAGAUGUUCACUUUAAAAAUUAUAUUAGUUUUAAUCAUUAGAUCAAAUUUUAACUGUACGAAUCCGAUGAUUUGGUAGAUUAAGAGGAAGGAACCUGUCACUCACUACCCUUCAGUCUUCUUAAAAUGCAAAAGAUAGUCCAAAUACGACUUUCCAAUAAAGCAACUGCAAGUCAAAAUAGGACUUUUAUAAAAGCAAGGUUGUAGCCGUGCUUCCAAGAACUUGAGGUCUAGAUUCAGAUAAUUUAAUUUAAUUUAUUGGAAAAAAACAUAUUUUUAUAUUUACGAUUGGGGUGGGCAGUGGAGCUGGCCAUGCUCCUUCACCAUACCAAAUAAAUUAUUUUCUCUUUGUCAGAUAUUGCACAUGUAAUUGUUUAGGGUAUGGAAUAAACUACGAGAUACGGUUUUAGUGCAUGCUGUUUAUUUAUGUUUUCUAAUUAAAAAUAUAUAAUGUGUGAAACUCACUUUUUAAGAAAUGCAUAUGUAGCCAGAGAUAUUUUAUAUUUUUUUAAUGUGUUCAGAAUAUAGAACGGCACGCUAUAUACUAUUAUGGAAGUGGAUAGAAUUUUUUUUUUGAAUGUUCCUCCAUUAGAUUAGUAUAAUAGCAAAUGAUAUAUGUGCCCGUAGUCCAAACAUUAAAAAUCUCUAAGGGUCUGUUUGGUAUUCAAUUUGAAUCCAACAUUUUAAACUCAAAAACAAUUUUCAAGUUUUAGGCCUUAAAAACAUGUUUGGUAGGAUUAUUUUAAAAAACUAAACUCAAGACUAACUAAAAAAUAUAGUUUAUUUUCUAAAAACAUAAAAAGUGAUAUUUUAGAGUUUGUAAACUUAAACUCACUCAUUUUUUUUUCUCUCACUCUUCCCCUCUCACUCCAAAUCUAUGUCUCUCUUUCUUUUCUUCUUUCUCUCCCCUCUUUUUUUUGUUUACUUUUUUCGUAUCUCCUCCAAUCUACUCUCUUCAUUCUCUCGGUUCUUUCUCUCACUCCUCUUCCUCUCUAUCUCGUCCGAUCCUCUCUUCUUUCUCUUUCCUUUAAUCAUCCCUUACUUUCUUUUCUCCUCUCUCCUCUUUCUCCCUCUCCUGCGACCCUAUCUUUUUAGAUCUCUUUGUCUAGUUUAAGUCAUAAGAUUUAAAUUUUUUAAAUCGCAAACCAAUCAAGUUUUUUAGUCUUAAAGAAAAUUGUAAUGUUCUUAAGAAAUGUUUUGAGGAAUGAUAAAAAAUUUCAAAUAGGAUACCAAACAUGCCCUAAUUUACGUGUGCUUCCAAGAACUGGCCAUCUAGAUUAAAAUAAUAUAAUCUAAUUACACAAUUUAAUUCACGAUUAGGGUGGAUAGUGGAGCUGGUCACGCUCCUCCAUACACACAAAAAUUAUUGUUUAGGACAUGCCGAAUUCUUAAGGAGUAAACUACGAGAUACGUUUUUCGCGUACGUUGUUUAUAUGUUUUCUGAUAAGAAAAAAUAGUGUGUGAAAAUCACUUUGUUAGACUAUGGGCGCAUAUAAACGCAUUUCGGCUUGGUGGCCUCCUUUAAUGUAAUUAGAUUUUCUUUACCUGAAAGACAAAAAAUAUGGAAGCAACUUUAGUUACCUCGUUGGAAACUUACAUUUAUGGAUGCUUGAUCGAAGAUAAAUGAUUUCAAGGUGUGUGAGAAGGCCGCUCUUAAGCGUAGAUUCGUUACUUGGAGAUAAUCAGCGUAAUAGGUUAUGGUGGAUUACCCUACACUUGUAAUAAUCCGAUCGAUGAACAACAGCUUUGUUAUUCUUUUGGAUAAAAAUCUUAGAGAAUUUGAUGAGCUCAAGUGAUUUUUUAAGAGGUUGGGAAACACUUAUAGGGAGUUUGGAAGAGAAAGGAAUAGUUGAAUGAGGAUAUUUCCCCCCAAAGAAUAAUAGGUAUAUAUAGGAAAAUUAAUUUUGAUACAACAAUCUGGAACGUUACUGCAAUCUAUUUUGUGUCAAGUCUUCCGUUAGCUACAAACACUACAUAUCAAACACCAAGUCUUCGAUUUUUCUGUAAGAAAAUUCAAUUUGAUGUUAAGAAAAAAGCAAAUGUUAAACGCCUAGUGUUAUGACUUAGUUUAUACAGAAAAUAAAUUGACAAUUGAAAUCAUAACGGAUGUUUUAAACAAAGAUAACAUUAGAAGAUCAAAGUAACUGAAGAAAACAGCCUAACCAAUAGUGAUAUGCAUCCUUAAUGACAUUAAGAGAAAAGCUGUUACCCACAAUUAUAGGAGAGAUUUUUUCUUGUGCUCGUAACACAGGAUGGUACGUCACAUGUCAUUAUACAAUUUGAGGGAUAUUUGAAAAUGCAAAACUUUCUUUUACUUAUAAAAUAACAUGUGACAUACCACCCUAUGUUCCUAGCACACUGAAAAUCUCUUGAAUUAUAGAUGUAACUAGUCAAACAAUGGAAAGAAGUGCUUACUUGUACUCUAUAUUGCAUGGAUCACAUUUUUCAUUUAGUGGUUAUUCAAUAAAUAGACAAAUAUUGUUAUAUAAACUUUAGUAAUGUUAAUCAAACGGUUAUACGAUAAACUUUAGCAACGUUAAUCGAACGGUUAUACAAUUUUUGCUUUGAUUGAUUUUUGCAGUGUUAAUCUUUUAAAGGUCAUUUUGGUUCUGGUCUUUAAUCAACCUAAUUGUUAGAUUGAAACCUUGUUUGUUUAAAUAUUUUGAUCAAGGUCCUUAAUUAGUCUCAUUUAAGAGAUUGAACUCAUGCAUAUAUGCAUUUAAUGACACACUGCGACCCGAAAUGUCCACUAGGACUCCGAAUUGAGUUGUGCUGACCGACACUUAGAAGGUGACGAAGCCAUAAAGUGUGAUGAUGUGGAAAAAUGUGAAUAAAUUUAAACCUAAGAGUGUCUAAAUACCAGAGUGCGACAUGAACGGAAAUGAACCCAUUUCACACGGGACGUCAGAGUAUAAGCAAAGUACAAUAGAGUGGAUUGAAAAUCAUACAAUUGAAGGUAACCUCCAAUACCAAGACUUGCCACAAAUCCUCGUAGAUAAGAAAGCUGAGCUAAUAAAACCUGGAAGGUGAAAACCAACCAAGGGUAAGUGGUCCUGGAAAUAAAAUUUUAAUAAAAACCAUAUAAAACAUUAUAACCUCUCGUUACAACAUCCGUAUAGUUUCCAGAAAAAUCAUAAACAUACCACAACACAACAUCUCAUCAGCAAUAUCAAUAUUCGUGUGAUUAAUAACCCAUACUAGCACGCAAGUCGGAGUCACCUAUGGUGACCUGUACGACUGCACCAGUAUCUUAUCAAUCAAUGUUAAUUCAUAAGUCGAAGUCACCUAUAGUGACUUGUACAACUUACCCAUAUAUCAUAAUAUAUGCUAGCUCAUCACAUAUUUCAUCAUAUAUGCUAGCUCAUCACAUAUGCUAACUUAUCACAUAUUUCAUCACAUAUGCUAGUUCAUCACAUAUUUCAUAAAAUAUGCUAGCUCAUCACAUAUGCUAGAUCAUCACAUCUCUCAUCACAUAUGUUAGCUCAUAAGUCGGGAGUCACCUCUUGUGACCUGUACGAUUGAAUCUAUAGCUCAAUAAUUAUACAUGCACACGAGUCGGAACCACCUAAAGUGGUCUGUACGACAGGAUUAGGUGUAAAUAAAUACGCUCAAGUGCUACGAUCACGUGAAGACUGUGCGAAUAAUCGCAGGUCACUUACGAGUUGGAACCACCUAUAGUGGUCUGUACGACAUGAUUGUGCACCUACCUUGAAUCCAAGAUGAGCGUAAGGUGCGAGAGGUGAACAUCAAGAAAAGACUUGGGGUGUAGUUCCGUGGAAUUCGAACCCUCGGACCAAGUUAAUCAGCUUUUAGCACAAUAAGUCGCAUUGUAUUUACAGUUCUUUCAAUAUAUAUAGGUUGUCUUAUUUAAUUGGGUUGUCUCCAAUUUACUGACUGCAUCAAGUUUUUUGGAUGCCGAAAGAUAGGCAUUGCUCUGAUUGCAACCCGGUUAUAUUUUCGAAUCUGAGUUGGAGUCAGUUGAGAUCAAAUUUGGUGGAACACAAACUUCAAACACCAAAAACAGGUUGUAGAAAAUCAAACGAACGUUUGAUAACUAACAUACAUAUUAUUGUAGAUAUAUGACUCUGUUGAGUAAGCUGCAGCAGCAAGCUUUAGUACUUGUUUCACUUUUGCUGGGCAACGACCUUGUUCCAAGCUGGCCUUGCUGUGAUAUACGCCACCCAUGCGCGAACAUGGGGGCGGGAUUCGAACAGCUUCUUCGAUUGUGUUCCCAUCAAGUAAUGUAUGGUGGGAAGGUGGUGAAGAUCAGCCAAAGUGAAGCUUUCACCUGCCAAGUAUUUCGACUGAGCCAGACGAGUCUCAUAUACAUCAAGAACCACAGCCAACUUGGCUUCAUUUUCCUCCACAACUGCCGCGUCUGUGGUCAUUUUAAACAUAGGCUUUAUAGCUAGCUCAUAGGUCAGUUUUGUGGCCGGCGGGUCGAACUUUUGGGCCUCCACCUCCGACCACAAUGAUAUAAUUGCCAUCUUCUUCGAGUCUCGGAUCACCAGAGGGGUUCCCUUGUCAGCAUACUCGUGGGCAAUGUAUUGUGUAAUCGCCCUUGAUUCUGCAUAUCAGAAGGUGCAUAGCUGAUCUUAUAUGCACAAGUUCAUAAUUCAUAUAUGUUGUUUGUGAAUUUGAUGUCACGACUACAACAGCAAUGCCGUAUUCCAAGCCAAUCAAGAACGGACAUGUAUUUUAACUCGUUUUCAUAUGAAUGUCCUUGAUGGGUUUGUGAUACACCGCAUUUCAGAUAUAGGUAAGUUUUUCUCAAUGUGAAUGAAUCAAAAACAAAUUUAUCUUAUAUAAACAUAUUCAUAUUUCAUAUAUGCUAUGUGUGAAUUUGGUGUGAAUGAACUGAUAUAUGUCCUACUGUGACAGUGAUUGAUUGAUUUUGGAUACCGUUACAAUAAUAUCUCAUUCCAGUUACAGAUAAGUUUAUGACGCGUGAGCGAGCUAAACACAAACUUACCAAAGAGCUUAAGAUCUCCAUCUUCGAAAGCUGGAACUUGACCAAAUGGCUGCAUCAAUUGAAGCAAAGAAAUGUGAGAUUUACUGACCAUAAAAAAAUACUUGAUAGUUUUGUUCUUCAUGUUCUCAUUGUAAUCAUAUACUUACAUUGAGGGAUAUGAAGGGCUCCUUUUUGU
rnacentral:lncRNA from 1 species